rnacentral:lncRNA from 1 species
GAGUAUAAACUUCUAGAAAACAUUCUCCUCCUAAGGACACAACUUUUUCUGCUUUUCUUCUUUCUUUCCACAAUCAUUCCAAUCCCAAACCCAAGUAAGAAUCCCGACCUAGUCCUAUCUGAUUUGAAAGUGAAAAUCAGAACUACUCAAGAUUUUAANNNNNNNNNNNNNNNNNNNNNNNNNNNNNNNNNNNNNNNNNNNNNNNNNNNNNNNNNNNNNNNNNNNNNNNNNNNNNNNNNNNNNNNNNNNNNNNNNNNNAAAAGGAUAGGUUGUGGGUGUGGUAAACUGAUCAAAAGAAAGAUCAGCUACUUGGAUCAACAAGAGUGGUGAAAGAAGGAAGAUGAUCCAAAUAUGUAUAUGGUGACCAUGAGCAUGCAAGCAAAACACAACCAGAUAUUUGCAAGUCAAGAUUAAGUUCUUAUAGGGUAAGGAAUGAGAUCAUAUCACAACAUGUUUCAACCAAGUUCAAGAAUGCUCUUCAUGAAUUCCAAGUUUGUUUCAGACUUACUUCAAGUUCAAUCAUCAUGCAUCAAAAAGCUAACAACCAGGGCAUUGAUCUCAACUAGUGAAUCAUAGCAAAUCAACAAGGUGUAACUCAUCAUCGCCCCCUAUGCUAAUGCAACAGUCCUACAUGAAACAAUCUAGACUCAAUCCUAAUACGUAAAUGCAAGCUACAUGAUCACUCUGUUUUUAAAGAUUUUUUCUGAAAAUUUUUCAAAUUUUUAGGGGUUUUCAAUGCACAUAUAUGAAUGCAAAUUAUAUGCUAAAAAUUCAAAAUAAGAAAAGAGAACAAAACAUCAAAUGUCAUCCCAAACCCUCCCCCAAACUUAAAUUACACAGUCUCUUGUGUAAUAAAAAUUUGAGAGUUGGUUUGAGAAUCAAACAAACAAAAGUAUGAAAAUGCAAUGGUAUAUACAGAUGAAGGUUUGGAGUGGUACCUUACUGAAAAUAGCAAUCCAGGUAUUGAGUUAUGGACUCGCUUGUAUAAGCACCUGGUGCAGGCGGGACAGGAGGAGCCUCUGCUGGUGAGGUCUUGGAAAUGAUACGCACAUGGAUCAACAGUCAGGUCCUCAAUGUGAUCCUCAGCUUGAUCCAUGGUCAGAUCCUCAACAUGAUGCUCCUCUGACAAGUGUGAUGAACUGGCUUUUGCCUUCCGUCUCGCUGCCUUCUUCUUUUUCCUUUUCUCCUUCUUCUUGCUAGUCCUAAGCUCAGGGGAGGACUGUCUCAGAGGAGAAGAAGAAACAUUCUGCUCUCUAUACUCAUAGGCGGAAUGACGUGAUGGAGAAGGAGUUCUGUAGCGUGCUGGGACAUCACUCGUGGACAAACGGCGCUGAACUGGUCUAGCAUCCUGCGGAGUCGUGUCUGCAAAAGCUUUGGUGGUGGAGGCGCAGCUAAACUUACUCAUGAAGCUCUUCAUCUUCGACUUCAUAGAUUUUAUUGCCUUGUCUUGCAGCAUGUUCCACUUCUGAAGUGUACUGAUACGCUUGUGAGCUUCCACCAAACUCUUGCCUUGUCUAGGCGCUGUGUAGUCCUUGAAAUGGUACCUCUCUGGUCUAUACUCAUCUGAAUCUUCUUCCAUCUCAUCAUCCUAUUUCUCAGAUACCUCCAUCGCUUCCUCACCAUCUGUCGUGUAGAGAGCCUCUGCAGGGGGAGUAAACUCAAUGUUGCUUCCUUCGAGUAUCCUAGUGAAAGCAAUACAAGGAAGCAAAAAUCGCACGUCACCAUGUAUAGGGUGAGUGAAGUAGUACAUAUAUAACCCGUUGCGUUUCUCCCAAUGCAACCAUUGAGCUUGCCUCAAAUUCUGAAUGUCGAUAAAUCUCGGUGCAAUAGGCUCUGNNNNNNNNNNNNNNNNNNNNNNNNNNNNNNNNNNNNNNNNNNNNNNNNNNNNNNNNNNNNNNNNNNNNNNNNNNNNNNNNNNNNNNNNNNNNNNNNNNNNCAACAGAGUGAACGAGGGGGAUGUAUCAGUCGUAUCACCUCGCAGUAGUGUCCCAUCUACUGCUGUUAACAGGAGAUCUUUGAGUGCAAGAUCAAUCAUCUCCAGCUCCCCGUUGAUCAGUGUCCAUGUUGUCUCCCUCGCGAAGAACACGUUUGCAAUUGACCGAUGGAAGUAGCGGAUAACAGGACUUCUGAUGUAGUUGCUCUUGGUCCUAGAUGAAGCAAACUUCUUCUCAUUCCCAAUCGUUUCCCAAAGAGCCAACAAUUCAUCUCUAUCAAUCCUUUGCCCAGUCCCUGUUUCAUUAGGGAACCCAAACAAACCUUCCAACUCUCUGAUGGUCAGGACAUACUCGUGAUCAUGGAUAGUGAAAGUGAUGUAUCCCAAUCCUCCAUCUGACUAUAUGUCCGGAUCAUCCUCAUAAAGAUGUAUGGCUAGCGUACAGAGGAACUGAAUUGUCUCCUCUCGGUAUGCGUUUCGCGGGCUAGUCAUGAGGGUGCUGAGAUGACAAUGCUCGAACAUAUACUCGACAUCACUCGAGAUAGCCAGCUCAUCCAUCGUCUGCUGGUAAGGAUACCUCGUGCCCUGAAACUCAUGCUGCUGAAACAGCUUGUAAUACUCUCCCGGGGCUAACCACUUCUCUGUCUUCUUCUUCUGCACUGACUUGCGAGCUGGGACAGGUGGAUGCUCUUCAAGCUCAUAAUCACUGUCAUCAUCCUGCAGCUCCAUUAGUUUCUUACCCGAAGACUUAGCUCUGCUUCUUGCCUGAGAAGGACCAACACCAGACGCUCUCUCAUAUGCAGCUUUCUUCUUCUCCAUAUAAACCUUAGACAUAGACUGAGGAGAUGCACGCUCUGUUGGUUUACAACCAUACUUCUCACGCAUUUCAUGCAACAAAUCUCUUGACAUUGUGAAACUGAAACAGUUGAAACUCAAAGCUAAAAAUUAGCUUGUUAGUGUUUCAAAAAUGAAGAAAAAUGAGCAAAUGUAAAAGAGAUGAGUUGUGAGACAAACACUUGUUGGUCGAGUGAGUAUUCGGCUUGGGUAUUCACGUCGAGUAAAGGGUGAUGCAGAGACGAUGGUGAGGAGCGGAUGGACGCGUGAUACUCCGACUGUGAGCUCGCUGCAGUCGUGAAUCGAGUAUCCGCCGAGUAUGGAGACGUUGCGGAUCGAGUGGCUAGAGUCGAAGCGAGACUUUUCAGUGGGGGAGUGAGUCGAGUAAGGGUCGCGAAAGGUGAUACCGUCAAGUAAUCGAGGUGACAACGGUCGAGUGGUUGAAGAGAGAGAGCUGAAGACGAACGGAUACUCGAUUCGCACGGAGAGAAAUUAGACGGUGGGUCGAGUUCUCGUUGGUUGGAAAAGCAGCUCGAGUGAGUAAACGGCGAGAGUGAGCUGAAAUCCGACGAGUCGAGCUAGAGCUUCACCGUCGAGUGAGUCAAGCGCCGGUCGAGUGGAUGAUGAGGAGAUGAAGAUCGAGUGAGAGAGAAAAAGAAAACGAGUGAUGGAGAGAAAUGUCGAGUGAGAGGGAUAAGAUUUUGUGUGGAGUAGGAGAGGAUAAGAGGUUUGGUCGAGUGGGAUGAUUUUUUUUUUUUUUUUUUUAUAUAUAUAUAUAUACUGCAACCCAACCAAAUAAUUGUCUCCCACUCCAUGUUCUUCACUGUGUCUGCAUAUCUCCUCUGAUAUUCAUUGCAUCACUACAUCUGUCUGAAUUCCUAAUAACCAGAAAACCAAAAACACAAAAAAUCCUAAGCAAUAUGUACAGGGAUACCUUUGGGACUUCCUCCCAAGUGAGCUUGUUUAAAGUCACUAAGCUUGAUUGUUUAUGCCAUUUAGGCUUUGGGAGGCUCAUAGAGAGGCAUGGAGGACCCCUCUGGUGUCUCUUGAUCAGGUAGGUAUCGCUUGACACGUUGACUGUUAACAGUGAACUCGCUGCCAUCCUUGUUCAGGAGAGUGAUCGCACCGAAUGGCAAAACAUCCUUGAUUUCAAACGGUCCAGACCAUCUAGACUUGAGCUUUCCAGGAAACAGCUUAAGUCUGGAAUUAAACAGCAAGACAUGAUCUCCAGCCUUAAGCUCCUUAACAACAAUCCUUUUGUCAUGGAAAGCUUUAGGUUCUCUCUUUAUAGAUUUUGGAACUUUCAAAAGCAUUAAAUCUGAUUUCCUCAAGUUCAUGGAUGUCAAGAACUCUCUUUGUCUGGGCUGCAUCAAUGUCCAAGUUCAGAAGCUUGAUAGCCCAAAGCACCUUAUACUCAAUCUCCACAGGGAGAUGACAUGCUUUACCAUACACCAACUGAAAAGGCGUCCUUCCUAUUGGUGUCUUGAAAGCUGAUCUGUACGCCCAUAGAGUAUCAUCCAACUUGGUAGACCAAUCUUUUUUCGAAGCCCCAACAACUCUUGACAAGAUUCCUUUUAUCUGCUUGUUAGAGACCUCAAUUUGUCCACAUGUCUAGGGAUGGUAGGCUGUAGACACCUUAUGCUUCACACCAUACUUCUUCAACAUGCUUUUAAAAACCUUGUUGAUGAAGUGUGUACCACCAUCACUGAUCACUGCUCUUGGUACUCCAUACCUGGGAAAGAUGAUGCUCUUGAACAGUUUAAGAACAACCUUGUGAUCAUUGGUGGGACUUGAAAUGCCUUCAAUCCAUUUUGAAACAUAAUCAACUGCAACCAGAAUGUAGACGUUGCCAUUUGAUGGAGGGUUGAACGGUCACAUGAAAUCAAUUCCCCAAACAUCAAAAAUUUCUACUUCCAAAAUCAGAUUCUGAGGCAUCUCAUUCCUUCUGUUGAUGUUACCCAUCCUCUGGCAAGCGUCACACUUGGUAAUGAAACUGUUUGUAUUCUUGAACAACGUUGGCCACCAAAGGCCUGCUUGUAGAACCUUCUGAACUGUCUUGAAUGUAGCGAAGUGUCCUGCAUAUGCGGAUCUAUGACAGUGCUCAAACACUCCCUGCACUUCUCCUUCUGCUAUGCAUCUGCUAAACAGCCCAUAUGAACCUCUCUUGUACAAGUAAGAUUCAUCCCAGAAGUAGUGGUUGACAUCUCUGAAAAACUUCUUUUUCCUAUAAGGAUCUAUGUCUGCAGGAAUCUCUCCACAGACCUUGUAGUUCACCACAUUUGCAUACCAGGGCAUACUCUCUGAAUUGACUGCUAGACAUUGAAGCUCAUUCAUAGCCAUUCCUGUUUGAUGCAUCUUCUUGCAUAUCUCAACAACCAUAAGAUGUUCUUCAGGCAUAGAGUCAUUAAUUGGGACUGGAUCUUCUAUUCUCAUUCUAGACAGGUGAUCAGCAACGCCGUUCUCUAUCCCCUUCUUAUCAACAAUCUCCAUAUCAAACUCCUGGAGUAGAAGUAUCCAUCUUAGCAGUCUCGGCUUGGUAUCCUUCUUGGAAUAUAUAUGUCUAAGCGCAGCAUGGUCUGUGUAGACUACCACUUUUGAUCCUACCAAGUAACUUCUGAAUUUCUCAAACGCAAAGACUACAGCCAAGAGCUCUUUCUUUGUUGUUGCAUACCUCCCUUGUGUCUCAUCAAGGGUUCUGCUCGCAUUGUAGAUGACAUGCAGUUUCUUUUCUAUUCGCUGCCCCAACACAUCCCCUACUGCAUAAUCUGAGGCAUCACACAUUAUCUCAAAAGGAUGAUCCCAGUCUGGAGCUUGGACUAUUGGUGCUGAGACUAACGUUUCCUUGAUCUUGUUGAAAGCUUCCAGACAGCUCUCAUCAACAACAAACUCGACCUCCUUGCAAAGCAGUCUUGUAAGGGGUCGUGCAAUCUUUGAGAAGUCCUUGAUGAAUCUUUUGUAAAACCUAGCAUGCCCGAGGAAACUCCUUAUAUCCUUGACUGACUUUGGAGGUUGCAACUGUAACAUGACCUGAAUCUUUGCCUUAUCAACCUCAAUCACUUUCUCUGAUACCUUGUGUCCCAACACUAUCCUUUCGUUCACCAUGAAGUGGCACUUCUCCCAAUUAAGCACCAUGCUUGUCUCCUCACAUCUUGCUAAUACCCUGCAGAGAUUCAACAAACAUAAGGAGAAGGAGGAGCCAUACACGGAAAAAUCAUCCAUGAAUACCUCCACCAUCUCCUCUAUCAAAUCUGAGAAUAUAGAGGUCAUACACCUCUGAAAUGUUGCACGUGCAUUACACAAACCAAAAGGCAUGCGUCUGUAGGAAAAUGUGCCAUAUGGACAAGUGAACGUAGUCUUUUCCUGAUCAUUUGGGUGGAUAGGGAUUUGGAAAAAUCCGCUAUACCCAUCAAGGAAACAGUAGUAGGGAUGAUUGGCUAAUCGUUCUAACAUUUGAUCAAUGAAAGGAAGAGGGAAAUGAUCUUUCCUAGAUGCAGCAUUCAGUUUUCUAUAAUCAAUGCACAUCCUAUGGCCAAUGAUAGUCCUAUUGGGGAUCAAUUCAUCUUUUUCAUUUUUUAUCACUGUAAUUCCUCCUUUCUUAGGCACGCAAUGCACUGGGGAUACUCAAGUACUAUCAGAGAUAGGAUAGAUAACCCCAGCAUUCAACAGUUUAAGAAUUUCUUUUUUCACAACUUCCUUAAGGUUAGGAUUCAAUCUCCUUUGAGGUUCAAUACUAGAGUAUGAUUCAUUUUCCAGAUUGAUCAUAUGCAUGUAGAGACUAGGUGAGAUCCCCUUGAUAUCAUCUAAGGAAUAGCCUAUGGCCCUUGUAUAUUUUCUAAGCUCAGUGACUAGCAACUCUAAUUCCUCAUUACUCAAGAUAGCAUUCACAAUGACAGGAUAAGUAGAGUUGGAUCCAAUGAAUACAUACCUCAGUCCUGAGGGUAGCGGUUUGAGCUCAACCUUGGGAGCUUUUAACUCUGACCAGUCAUCAUCAGCUGCAUUGACAGGGUCAACAGCAGGGUGAGUGAUCGGGCUGCCACUGACUUCCUCCUCUACUAUGCAUACCUACUUGACAGACUUAUCCAAUUCAUCAAAACGUUCUGAAUCAUCAGUUGCCUUGUAGGUAUCCAGUAACGUUUCGUAGACCUUGUUGACUUUGGUCUCACCAUGAAGAAAUCCAUCUGAUCCAUUCUUUGUCAAUGCUGUCUUGAGAUGAUCCUCCUCAGCAAGUUCUUCUAAAAGCUCAUCAGCUAGCUGAUCCAUCUCCUCUAUCCAGAACACCUUGCCAUUGAUUGUUGGUUUCUUCAUAGACUCCUUGAUGUCAAAUGUCAUCUUGAAGUCUUCUCCAAAGCAUAAGUCUAUCUUCCCCUUCUUAACAUCAAUGAUAGCUCCAGCAGUGGCUAGGAAAGGUCUUCCAAGAAUCAGAGGAUCUUUAGGCACUUCAUCCAUUUCCAAGACAACAAAAUCCGUGGGAACUUCAACAACACCAAUUCUUAUUGGCAGGUCUUCCAAGAGUCCAUGUGGGAGCCUCACUGAUCUGUCAGUUAGAAUGAGAGAUAUGUUGCAUGCCUUGUAUCUUGUGAAUACUAAACGCUUAGCCACAGACAAUGGCAUAAGACUCACAGAAGCUCCAAGAUCACAUAGGCAUCUGCUGAAAGAUAGGGGGCCUAGUGAGCAGGGUAGAGUGAAGGAUCCAGGAUCCUUAAGCUUCAAGGGAGUGAUCUUCUUUUGAAUAAUGGCACUGCAUUCAUAACUCAAUAUCACCAUGCCCUGGACUUCUUUUCUUCUCUCCAUAACCAAAUCUUUGAGGAACUUCUGAUAAGGAGGGACAAGUGCGAAUGCAUCCAGCAAUGGCAUUCUCAACUCAAUCUCUCUCACUUGCUUUUCAAAUAAAGCCUUAUACUUCUCAGCUUGCUGCUUUUUGAAUCGUCCUGUAAAUAGUAGAGGUGGUUUGUAUGGUGGGGUAUCUCGAAGGCUUAUCCUUGGAUGCUGCAGGUGUUUCAACAUGUUUCUCAGCAGGUUGAGGAGCUUCUUCAGGUACGACUUCUGAUUCUUCCAAAGGAACAACCGGAUCUUCAUUCUAACAUACAUCCUCCCCUCCCAAGUCUUCACUGUCCUCAGUGACUACAACAGGUCCUUGUCUGUGAGGCAAGUUUUUACCGCUCCUCAGUGUGAUGGCAUGAGCAAACUCCUUAGGAUUCUGAACAGAUUUUCCUGGGAGUUGGCCAGGCUUUGGGGCAGAAGUAGAAGCAGUUUUGCCCUCCAUAUACUUGAUCUUGGAAUUCAGAGUCUCAAUCUUCAUGUUCAGAUCAUUGUAUGAGCAGUCCAAUCUCUGAGUUAGCUCAGCAAACUUCUUAGCAUUGUCCAUGGAGCCACUUGCUUGUCCCUAUAGGAGUUGCUGAAGCAUGUUUUUCAUGUCAUGGUCUGGUGCUGUUGGAGGCGGAGCAUGUUGAGGUUGGAAUCCUGGUGGUGGUCCUGCUGGAGGUUGGUAACCUUGCUGAAAUUGUUGUUUGGGCACAUAACCUUGGUUGUAGGGCACAAAUGGUUUGUUAUGCCCCUGCUGCUGCUGCUGCUGUUGUGGAGGUGGAUAAACCUUAUCCUGGGGGUUUGCAACAUUGGUGCUCAUAUAAGACAGAUUGGGAUUCUGCUUAUAAGGAUUGUACCCUUAUUGUAUCCACCUUGGUUCUGGACAUAACUUAUCUCCUCAGAUUGUUCUCCCUCCCCAUUCAGAAUCUGGAAAGGGUCGUCUUCAGAGACGUAAUGGAUGUUGCUCUGCUGGCUCAUCAAUAGCUUGUCCAACUUAUCAUUCACAGCCUUCAUCUCCUUCUUGUACUUCUCAUCAAGAUCUGUGCUUGCCCUGAUGGUUCUAUCAUAAUCUUCAUUGUAGUUGCCAUCAGACUGGGAUAGGUUUUCAACAAGCUCCCAAUCUUGUUCGACGUCCUUGUUCAGAAAGUUGCCAUUGCUGGCAGUGUCAAGCAACAUCCGGAUUUUUGGGAGAACACCCUGGUAAAGAGUACUGAGGAGAGACUCCUUGGUGAAGCCAUGGCGGGGGCACUGAGACUGAUAACUUUUGAAGCGUUCCCAGGCUUCACAAAGCGUUUCUCCGUUCUUCUGAGUGAACCCAGAGAUCUCAUUGCGCAGACGUGCAGUUCUAGAAUUGGAGAAAAACUUGGCAAGAAACGACUGCUUGCAUUGAUCCCAAGAAGUGAUAGAUCCUGGAGGAAGAGUUUUCUUCCAUUGAUGAGCUUUGUCACCCAAAGAGAAUGGAAAGAGACGUAGCUUGAAACCGUCCUCAAGGACCCCAUUGAUCUUGGUGAGACUACAGAGACGAUCAAACUCAUCAAGGUGAUCCAGGGGGUCUUCCAUAGGCAGACCAUGAAAUUUAUUUUGCUGGACCAUGGAGAUCAGACCACUCUUGAUCUCAAAGUUGUUGUUCGCCACGGCUGGAGGCACUAUAUCCUGACGAUGGGUAUGGUUGCAUGGAGCAUCACCAGCUCCAAUCCGUGUAGGUGCCCGUGGUGGGGGUGGUGGUUGAAUGUUUUCCAUCUCCACUUGGGGUGGUGUAACUCUGUUGCGUUGCUGUCGUGAUGCAGGCAACUCUUCGACAAACUCUCUUCAAAACACCUUAUCGUUGGUUGUGCAUCGAGAAUUUACUUUGGUUUGGCUUCGAUCUUCACUUCUUCGAUUUUUUCUCGACCGGCUGUCGUCGCGGAUCGACAGGAUCGAUGGUGUCUUGACCAUCUUCGACUAUUCUUUGUUAUUUUGGCAAUCCUUCUCAAUAGAACUUCAUACUUAUCCAAUUUAAAACUUUGGGUCAAGAUACUUUGCUUCACUUUCGGGUCCAGUCUUCGUGUGGUCGAUAACGCACUUCUCUGGAUACGUUCCUUCGUAUAACUCUCGACCAAACUGGGUUUCUUUCGGUAAUGCUUCGAUAGAUCACCAUCUUUACUUCUUCUAAGUCUUUCAGAAUUCUUUUCUCACCCGUUCAUCGAUUAUUUUUCAUCCGGUUACUAGAUCAAGGUGAUGGUCACUACAUUUUCCCCUCCUUAUAAGAAUUCGUCCUCGAAUUUAAUUACUGGUCUUCACUCCUUCGCUCGUCGUCUUUAACUUCUUAAAUGUUUCUUCUUUUUUGGUCUCUGGGUCUUCAUGGUCAUCUCCAUUGGUCUUCUUUUGGUCAACUCCUUUGGUUUCGACAAUUUUCUUCUCGGCCUCCUUCGAUUACUCCAUCUUCCUUCUUGCUUUGGGUUGGAACGGAUUUCCAUCAUCUUCUUUGGUCUUUCCUUGAUUCGAUCUCCAUCACUUAGAUUUUGAUCUCCCUUCGAUCUUCAUCAUGUAAACUUGGUUUUCUUCCUUGGCCUUCCUUCGGCUUCGAUUUCUUGAGAUUUUUGCUUCUUGAUAUAUUGUGUUUUUAUCGGUUUAAGUCUUUCUUUUCUCUUUUAUUUUAUAACUUUUAUUUAGUCAAAGUGUGUUUUUAGAGUCCUUUAGUCCAUUAUAGAGUCUUUACAGGUUUUAGGUUGCUUUGGAAUAAAAUGAGCCGAUUUGGGAUGCAAACACACAUUUGGAGAUGUAGAUUCAAGUAGAAGUAUCAAAUGUUUGGGAUCAGAUGAACAAUUUUACACUGUUAGAUCUUUCUUAUACUUUGACACAAGAUGAAGACAGAUGUUAGCUUUCAUUUGCAAGUGAUUUCAAGGAAAUCUAACGGUGCAUUCACGGGUUACACACGAUUUAUUGAAGACAGGUCAUUCUGACGAGUUGUUGAAGCUGAUGGAGAAGUAAACCCUGGGAGCAUUAGAUCGAUCGGUCACCAUUGGAUCGAUCGGUCCCUUACCUCUGACGCAGAUUUUGGCCCAUAUUCGAUCCGAAACAGAUCCAACUCGUCUCCUAUUGUUUUUAUACCCUAGAGUCGACUUUUUAGCAGCGAUCCUUCAUAUUUUUCAGUUCUAAACAUUGUUCUUUGCUUUCAAAACAAUUUUGGGACAAGAAUACAUCCUUUUGACACUUGGAGAAGAUUUCUAAACCCUUUCUUAUUAUAUUUACAAUUUCAGCAUGUUUUCUUUCAUAUCUAUUUGCUUUGUUUCAAUUGCUAUGUCUGAGUAGUCUUUUAAUUGGGUUUUAGGGUUUCAAGUAGGAGAAUUCAAUGAUUUGAUGGAUUAGAUGUCUUAGGGAAUUCUUAAAUCAUUAGGUUCUUCAAUUUACAUGUUCUCAAUGCUAGAAUAGGAUUGAUCACCCUGUUUUAGAACUUAGGCUUUUAUGUGUUUCAGAGAUGUUCGAUAAAAUGCCUGAACGAAUGUAAAUUGAGCAUAGUAUUUCUAACCUGCGAGAGUUGAUGUUAGAAUGCUUUGUGAACCAAAUGAACCUGUUUGAUAAUGCGAAUUUGGGUAGGAAAUUACAAAUGAGAGUUUAGUAAUUGAAUAGUUAAAAUUUAGUGACUAAUGUCUUGAGAGAGAAUUAGUCUAAACUUCUGUUCAUGUUCAAGAACGGUUCUUCAUGUUUGAAUUCCUUAUUGCCUUUUAUUUGUUAUUCAUUGAUUCUCUGAAAAUACCCUGCAGCCCAAUGUCUUUAAUUCAUAAGUUUAAAUCUCUCUUUUAUUUGCAUUUUUCUUUACAAAACUGAAAAGCUAAACAACAAGUCUUUUCCGCUUUAGCUAAGAACGAGUCUCGCAAGUCUUUAGUGUACCAUUGCUACUUGUGAUCCCGCAUAUACUUUAUUUCGGUUAAGUUAUCAGGUUAAAUACUCGAGUAAUCACUUCUUCUUCAUACUUAGCUCCGAUGUUUUCUUCACUCAAUAAAGAUUUUCCAACUGAUUUUUCCUUAGUGUUUUCCGACUAAAUCUUGUUGGCAUCUCGGCCAAUUAUUUGCCCCAUUUUGAUUUUUCUCUUGAUCGCUUAUGGUCUUCCUUUGUGCAUUCGUCUCGGCUACUGGUUGCAUGGAUUGACUUUCGGAUCUCUUUCAAUCGUCGAGGUCUGGUCACUUUUUGGUUUCUCCUUCGGUCAUCUUCGUCUUUUGCCUUUUUGCCUCAGUGAGUCUUCUCGGCAUGUUGUUAAAACAAACAACACAACAACAAGCACAAGCAACACUACUAGCAAGCAAACCUAGCAAGCUACACGGCCAAUCCUAGCAAACAACUCUAAGACAAAGCAAAGACUCUACCGGAACUCGACAAAGACAAUCUUAGCAAGCUGAUAAGUCUGUAUUUCAUCACUUUUUGAGCAUGUAUUCAUCAUCUUUUUAGCAUCAUUGACUUGUUGAUUCACAUCAUAUUGAUCACUUUCUCCAUGUUUUGCAUACUUAGGUAGGUUUUGUGCAUAUCAUGCAUGUCUUGCAUACAUUUUGCAUAUUGGAGUGUUUCAAGUACUAAACAGACAUGCAUCACAAAGAAGAGGAACAAGUAUCACUCGACAGGCACACGAUCAAAGCAGCAGAGAUACAUUGCAAAUACAUCGACGAUCGAUUGAGCAGCAGACGUACACGUUCGAGUAGCAGAUCGAGUGAGCAGAAGGGACGCGAAGCAGAAUCACCUGUCACUCGAUGCACACACUCGAGUGACACGAUCGAGCAAAGCAAAGGAGUAGCAAAUGAUUUCACAGAUCACUCGCACGCUCACUCGAGAUACAUGGUCGAGUAAGCUGUAAUGAUGCAGAGAAGAAAUUAUGUGUUACUCGACACGCUCACUCGACCAACAGGGUCACUACAACUUUUUAACCGCUUUUUACUUUGUCGUUUUAUGUUUUAAAAUUUGGCCAAGCAUUGGUAUAAAUAGGUCUCUUUUGGCAUUGUCCAGGGGAUCAAAUUUGUAUCUUUAGGUACUUGUUGUUAGCUAACAAACAAUCCAGAAAAUUGUAAUUCAGAUAUCUUUUAAGUUAUUAAGAUUUUGCACUUAGUUCUUGGAUCAUUAUUGUUAAUCUUCCUAUCAUCUUUAUUAUUAUGCAUCUUUUGAAGAAUUCUGGGUUUGUGAUGUUUAACAUGAUUUCCGUGUCUGAGUAGUGUUAGGGUUCUUGAGGAUGAAAUAGAUUAGGUGGUAAAUGUUAGUUUGCUAGAUUGUUUAAGUUAGAUUCGUUUGUUCCCUUCUGGAUUAGAGUAUUCAUAGCUAAUUCUUCUCUGAUCAAGUGGAAUUAGAUCCCAGACAUUUCAGCACCUACCAAGUGUUCGAUGAAAUGUCUAAACAACUAAUACUAGAGAUAUACUUGCUUAGCCUAAGAGAUUAGAUGUCUAGGAAGUUUAUUGACAUUAAUGGACUGUUUCUUCAUGCUUGUUUACUGCAUGUUUCAUCAAAGAGGUUUGAGAUUAGGAAGUGUUGUAAACAUGAUAGUUUCUGCCAAGAGAUUGGAUAAACUAGUAUUUGAUGUUCAUUGUCUAUGGAUUAUUAUGUUUGUCGUUUGUUAAACACUCUACGUAGAUUAGCAUACUCCACUACAUCAAUUACCUCAUCCUCAGGAUCUUCUAUCCAUUUGUGUUUUAUGUUUUAUUCACUUGCUAUUUACUUAUUCUAUUCUGUCUUCUUAGUAGUAUUGAUAAUCAUUACGUUUUAGCUUAUGCAUGAUAGUCUAUGUUUUGCACCCUUACAUUUAUCGCAUGUUUAACAUUUCUGCUUAGGAUCAUUGAAAACCAAAAUCAUUUAUACUUCGCUUGACUUAAUCAGUUCUGAUAUAUCUUGAUUGCUAGCAUCACACCUGAUUGGACUGAUACAUAUUGUACUGCAAUGACAUGAUAGUACUCUAGGGUAAUUGGUAGUAAAAUCCUAGUAUCAAUUUGUCGCCGCUGCCAUUUGAGUGUUCGUUUGUUACAUUUGAGAUUUCUUAUUCAACAUUCACUAUAGUUCUUACUCAACAUUAACUACAGUUACUCACUCUUUUCUUUCUGCUUGUCUAUUGAUUCAUGUACAACUCUUGCUCAACUACUCCUACUCUACUGACACACUCAACCGUCUCGCGAGCUAAGUUGAUUUGAGUUGUAUGCACACACGGUCGCAAGGCACAGAUAACUUGUUUCAGCCCUCCGACUUUAUUGAUCGCUUGGUACAUACAUCAAGACAGCAAUGCAACAGAGUUACACCACCACAAGUGGAGAUGGAAAACCCUCAACAACCACUUCCACCACGGACACCUACACGGAUUGGAGUUGGUGAUGCUCCACGCAACCAUACCCAUCGCUAGGAUAUAGUGCCUCCAGCCGUGCACAACAACAAUUUCGAGAUCAAGAGUAGCCUGAUCUCCAUAGUGCAGCAAUAUAAAUUUCAUGGUCUGCCUAUGGAACACUCCCUGGAUCACCUCGAUGAGUUCGAUCGUCUUUACAGUCUCACCAAGAUCAAUGGAGUCAGUGAGGACGAUUUCAAGUUACAACUCUUUCCAUUCUUUUUGGGUGACAAAGCUCAUCAAUGCAAUGGGAGAAAACUCUUUCUCCAGGAUCUAUCACUUCCUGGGAUCAAUGCAAGUAGUCUUUUCUUGCCAAGUUUUUCUCCAACUCUACAACUGCAUGUUUGCGCAACGAGAUUUCUGGGUUCACUUAGAAGAAUGGUGAAACACUAUGUGAAACAUGGGAGCGCUUCAAAAGUUAUCAGUCUCAGUGCCCCCAUCAUGGCUUCACCAAGGAGUCUCUUCUCAGUACUCUCUACCGAGGCGUUUUCCCAAAGAUCUGGAUGUUACUUGACACUGCCAGCAAUGGCAACUUUCUGAACAAGGACGUCGACGAUGGUUGGGAGCUUGUUGAGAACCUAGCCCAAUCUGAUGGCAACUACAAUGAGGAUUAUGACAGAACCAUCAGGGCAAGCAAAGAACUUGAUGAGAAGUACAAGAAUGAGAUGAAAGCUGUGAAUGAUAAACUGGACAAACUCUUGAUGAGCUAGCAGAGGAACAUUCAUUUCGUCUCUGAAAAAGACCCUUUCCAGAUUCUGGAUGGGGAGGGAGAAUAAUCUGAGGAGAUAAGCUAUGUCCAGAACCAAGGUGGAUACAACAAGGGAUACAAUCCCUAUAAGCAGAAUUCUAAUCUGUCUUAUAGGAGUACCAAUGUUGCAAAUCCCUAGGAUCAUAUUUAUCCACCUCCACAACAGCAGCAACAGGGGCAAAACAAACCAUUUGUGCCCUACAACCAAAGUUAUGUGCCCAAACAACAAUUUCAGCAAGGUUACCAACCUCUAGCAGGACCACCACCAGACCAUGACAUGAAAAAUAUGCUUUAGCAACUCCUCCAGGGACAAGCAAGUGGCUCCAUGGAAAUGGUAAGAAGUUUGCUGAGCUGACUCAGAAAUUGGACUGCUCAUAGAAUGAUUUGAGUAUAAAGUUUUAGACUCUGAAUUCCAAGAUCAAGUAUAUGAAGGGCAAAAAUGCUUCUACUUCUGCCCCAAAGCCUGACCAACUCCCAGGAAAAGCGUUCAUAAGUUGGAUCCAUCGAGAAAAUAAUACAUAAUAGAAAAGUAAUAUUUUGUUAAAACAUGAAAAAUAUUCUAACUCCGGCUCCUAAUGUUUGCUACGGUCUAGACUCCUUAAGAAUAAACCUGCAAAACAGAAUGAGCUUUGAGUAUUCUAGUAAUACUCAGUGAGCCGGAUACCCCCAAUUCUAUUAUUCAAUCCCCCGCCCCAAAAAACGCCAAAAUAAACCAGCAAGUUCAGAAAAGCGUUAGCGGAAGCAUAAAAAGCAAACAAGCAAGACAAGCAAGACAAACUAAGACUCGACUUAUUCUAAGGCUUGCUAGACUCCACUCCCUAUCCUAUCGAUAAUUUGAUCCGUUCCUUCUCAUUUUUACAAAAUCACUCGGGAUGAAACCACGAAGGCAUUCAGUCCGGAGGAAACAUCUUGUUGCAUCGUCAUGCAACAUCUUGGGCUAGUCGAGAGCUAGGGACCAAGCAUCAUGGUCAAGACCUGAAAAACCACGAAGGUUACCUCUUCGAGACCCACAUCGCCAUCGCCAAGGAAACAGUUUAUCGAACCUAAGAAUCAAAUCUACAUAUCUGAAACUAAGGACUCUCUAAAAGCAAGAAAUUCUAUACAAAGAAGAUCAGUACUAGAAGAGAUAAUAAACAAGCAAGCAAGCAAGCAAAUCAAGCAAUCAACAGGUAAACAAAGCAAAGCAAGCAAGCAAGCGUGAUAUUAAUUAGCCUAGCCGGAUUAACAUGCGUGUUCAUUUUCGUUGGUCAUAUUAGCAAGCACUAUCUUGUAAUUAAGCCGGAUUGUUUAAGCAUGCAGGUUCAUUUUUGCAGAAAUUUAAAGGCUAUUAUGCAGGUUCUAUAAAAAGAAAAGGCAAGCAAAACACGCAAUAGGUGCGUACACAAGUCCGAAGACUUAUGCAACACCUCACACAAUUUCUAUCCAACUCAUAGUGUUUUUAUUGACGAUUUUCCUUCUUCUCUCACCGAGGCAGGCACACGAACACUCCUUCUUCUCAGAUCAACCUUCGAUAGCAGACUUCUCGACUUUGGCAACAAGUUUCUUGAUUCUUCGGCAACAACAAUCGAUCGGAGGGGCAAAUUUCUCAAACGAGACUUUCAAGAGCGAGAGAGAAAUUCUUUAGAGUGAGAGGCUUGUGUCGUUUGGGCUAACAAACACAAAUGACGCUUCACUGCCUCUAUUUAUAGUGUUUAGCUUCGGAAAAAUAGCUAGAUUCGGAAACCGCAUGCAUUCGUCAAGUGUUGGUUCGGGUUUGGCGAAACAAACCAUCUCUCACUGCCGGACACGUGGCAGUCAUAGGAUUAUGUCCGAUUGCAUCCAUUGUCAUAUCUUUGCAAGAUAUUUUCUCGUUUUUUCUCUGUUUUUCUUUUCGGAAAUUCCCAUGUGGCAGGACUGUCGAGUGAAUAGGUUCAGUGAACAGACACAAAAUCGGAUUUCUUGAUCUUCUUGAGAUUUUCUCGAUCACGAUCGGACAUAUCAGUACUUAAAGAGAUUUCUUCGGCAAAAUUGGAAUUCCUUCGACAAACUCUCUUCAAAACAUCUUAUUGUUGGUUGUAUAUCGAGAUUUUACUUUGGUUUGGCUUCGAUCAUCACUUCUUCGAUUUGGUCUCGAUCGCCUGUCAUCGCGGAUCAAAGGGAUCGAUGGUGUCUCGACCAUCUUCGACUUUUAUUUGUUAUUUUGGCAAUCCUUCUCGAUAGAACUUCAUACUUAGUCAUUUUAAGACUUUGGGUUGAGACACUUUGCUUCACUUCCGGGUCCAAUCUUCAUGUGGUCGAUAACGUACCUUUCCGGCUACGCUCCUUCGUAUAUCUCUAGACCAAACUUCGUUUCUUCCUGUAAGGCUUCGAUAGGUCACCAUCUUUAUUUCUUCUAAGUCUUUAGGAGUUCUAUUAUCUCCCAUUCAUCGAUGAUCAAACUACAGUGCCAUUGCUGCCUUUUUCCUAGCUUUUCGAUUUCCUCUUUCUAAACCCGCUAGUUCUGUAUUGUUGAGAUCAACUAACUCUUUUUUCUGCUGGCUUCUGGUAUUAGGUAUAAACCUGAAACACCAAAAAGAAAAGAGAAAAGAAAAGCGUAAGUAACAAAAUAAAAAAAAAAACUUAGACUAAACUUUUAACCUUAAUCUAAUGGUAAUCAAAAUUGAGCCCCUGGCAGCGGCGCCAAAAUUUGAUCGGCUCAAAUUUACCCUGAGAUACUCUCUGAAUUAAGAGAUCACUGUAGUACUUAGGGAUCGAAUCCACAGAAACUCAACGAUUACACAUUAAAUAACUGGUAUUAAAUUAAGCUAAGCAAGCACGUUUUAAAUUAAAUAAAAUAGCAAAUUAAAUUAACGAUUGGUUUUAAAACAAUAAUGAGAAAAUGCUAGGCCUAUGGAUAUUCUUAGGAAAUUCAGAAUUGCAAAUAAAUAAUUGUCAGGAUUUAUAAAGCACCGUUCUUGAACUCAAAUCACAAAAUUAUAAUCAAUCAACUUUCGUUGUAAAGACUAUCUAUGACUAUAACCCUAAAUUCCAAAUAUCUUUGCAAAUUUAUAAGAGCGUCCGCAUUAGCGUAUAUACCCUUGGUCCCAUAGAUUUUUUUGUUCAAAAUUAAAUCAAAACAAAAAAGGGUGGGUCGUAAACUAAAACGGGACGGUCCCACGCUUCCUUCUGUCACUAAUCGUGGCCCCCCACUGACACGUGGCCCCCCACUGACACGUGGUGGCCCGCGAUUGGUUACAUUCUUUUUUUUAAUUCAAAAAAUUUGAGAAAAACACUUUGGGGGACGACCACAACCGAUGUGCAUGCCCUAAGUUUCACACAUGAAUUUAAUUCAGGUUUGAUAAGUUCACAAAAUACCUAAACCAAAUCUCUUUGCGAAUAGGUAUUUUGCUCAUCUAGAUUAUUUUCAGGAAAUCAAUAACAUUUUCGUGUCUACCAAUUAACCUAAGAUCAUAUUCUAGGUUGCUUUCACUACUCUAGAACAAAUUAACCACAAUCUAAAUGAAGAACUCUAUUGAUUAAAUCCUAACAAUUUAACAACCUAACAAUUAAUGAAUUCCUUUGAAAACCCUAAACCUAACAAGAAAUCUACUCAGACAUGGUGAAUGAAACAAACUUCAUAAACAAAAUAGAUAUCAUUAAAGAAAUCAAUAGAAGAAGUAAAAGAGUUAUGAAUCUUCUCUAAAGGAGGUUUUGAUUCUUCUCUCCCAGCUCUCUACAUAUCUCUCUCUCUCCAAAAUAAAGUUUAAGUCUUAACAAAACCCUAAAAACUCAAUAUAAUAAGUCUAAAUUACGAACUGGGCUUAAUUGCAAAUAAGGGAAACUUUUGGACCGAAUCUGCAAAUCUUUCAAACUUCAACUAGACAAGAAAAUCAAUUGCCGUCAGAUGUUGGUGUUGAUCGACACCAGGAAUUGUGUCGAUCAACACUCACACCAAAUAUGCUCUCCAGAUACGUUCCUUCGGCACAUCUUCUCCAAAUGCUCCCAAAUGCUCCAAAAAGCUCAAAUCCAUGCCAAAAUACCAUAAAUAAGACUCAAAAAUACUAUAAAAGCUCUAUAAAUAAGACUUAUAUCAUGGCCAAAAACCCGUUAAAACCAUGAUAUAUCAACCAUUUCCAGGACGAUUCAAAAAGCAGCACGCUGAGAAGUAUAAAGCUUUAUUCGAAAAGCAAGUGAAAGAGAUUGAGUUGAGAAUGCCAUUGCUAGAUGCAUUCGCACUUGUCCCUCCUUAUUAGAAGUUCCUCAAAGAUUUUGUUAUGGAGAGAGCAAAAGAAGUCCAAGGCAUGUUGAUAUUGAGUCAUGAAUGCAGUGCCAUUAUCCAGAAGAAGAUUACUCCCUUGAAGCUUAAGGAUCCUGGAUCCUUCAAUCUACUUUGCUCACUAAGCCCCCUAUCUUUCAGCAGGUGCCUAUGUUAUCUUAGAACUUCAGUGAGUAUAAUGCCAAUGUCUGUGGCUAAGCGUUUAGGAUUCACAAGAUACAAGGCUUGCAACAUAUCUCCCAUUCUAGCUGAUAGAUCAGUGAGGCUCCCGCAUGGACUCUUGGAAGACUUACCAAUAAGGAUUGGUGUUGCUGAAGUCCCUAUAGAUUUCGUUGUCUUGGAAAUGGAUGAAGAACCUAAGGAUCCUUGAUUCUUGGAAGGCCAUUCCUAGCCACUACAGGAACUAUCAUUGAUGUUAAGAAGGGAAAGAUUGAUAUUUGCUUGGGAGAAGACUUCAAGAUGAUAUUUGACAUCAAGGAGUCCAUGAAGAAACCAACGAUCAAUGGUAAUGUGUUAUGGAUAGAGGAGAUGGAUCAGUUAGCUGAUGAACUUUUAGAAGAACUUGUUGAGGAGGAUCAUCUCAAGACAGCCUUGACAAAAAAUGGAUCAGAUGGAUUUCUGCAUGCUGAGACCAAAGUCUACGAAACUUGCCAAUAAGGAUUGGUGUUGCUGAAGUCCCGAUAGAUUUCGUUGUCUUGGAAAUGGAUUAAGAGCCUAAGGAUCCUUGAUUCUUGGAAGGCCAUUCCUAGGCACUACAAGAGCUAUCAUUGAUAUUAAGAAGGGAAAGAUUGAUCUAUGCGUGGGAGAAGACUUCAAGAUGACAUUUGAGAAGACUAGGUGAGAUAACUUACUUAUCAAUAAUGAAAAAUAUAGAACAGCCAUAGGUUAUUCCUUAGAUGAUAUCAAGGGGAUCUCACCUAGUCUCUGCAUGCAUAGGAUCAAUCUGAAAAAUGAAUCAUACACUAGUAUUGACACUAAAAGGAGAUUGAAUCCUAAUCGUAAGGAAGUUGUGAGAAAAUAAAUUCUUAAACUGUUGAAUGAUGGGGUUAUCUAUCCUAUCUCUAAUAGUACUUGGGUAUCCCCAGUACAUUGUGUACCUAAGAAGGGAGGAAUUUUAGUGAUAAAAAUGACAAAGAUGAAUUGAUACUUACUAGGACUAUCACUGGCCAUAGGAUGUGCAUUGAUUACAGAAAACUGAAUGCUGCAUCUAGGAAAGACCAUUUCCCUCUUCCUUUCAUUGAUCAUAUGUUAGAAAUAUUAGCCAAUCAUUCCUACUAAUGUGUCCUUGAUGGGUAUAGUGGAUUCUUCCAAAUCACUAUCCUUCCAAAUGAUCAGGAAAAUACCACUUUCACUUGUCUCUAUGGCACAUUUGCCUACAGACGCGUGCCUUUUGGCUUGUGUAAUGUGCUGCAACAUUUCAGAGGUGUAUGACAUCUAUAUUCUCGGAUUUCAUAGACGAGAUGGUGGAGGUAUUCAUGGAUGACUUUUUCGUGUAUGGCUCUUCCUUCUCCUCAUGUUUGUUGAAUCUCUGCAGUGCAUUAACAAGAUGUGAGGAGACAAGCCUAGUGCUAUACUGGGAGAAGUGCCACUUCAUGGGGAACGAAGGGAUAGUGUUGGGACCCAAGGUAUCAGAGAAAGGGAUUGAGGUUGAUAAGGCAAAGAUUGAGUUCAUGGUAAAGUUGCAGCCUCCCAAGACAGUCAAGGAUAUAAGGAGUUUCCGUGGGCAUGCUGGGUUUUACAAAAGGUUCAUCAAGGACUUCUCAAAAAUUGCAAUACCUCUUACAAGACCGCUGUGCAAGGAGGUCGAAGUUGUAGUUGAUGAGAGCUGUCUGGAAGCUUUCAACAAGAUCAAGGAAGCGUUAGUCUCAGCACCUAUAGUCCAAGCUCUAGAUUGGGAUCAUCCUUUUAAGAUAAUGUGUAAUGCUUCUGAUUAUGCACUAGGGGCUGUGUUGGGGUAGCGAAUAGAGAAGAAGCUGCAUGUCAUCUAUUAUGCAAGCAGAACCCUUGAUGAGACACAAGGGAGGUUUGCAACAACAAAGAAUGAGCUUUUGGCUAUAGUCUUUGCAUUUGAGAAAUUCAGAAGUUACUUGGUGGGAUCAAAGGUAGUAGUCUACAUGGACCAUGCUGCACUGAGACACAUAUACUCGAAGAAGUAUACCAAGCCGAGACUGUUGAGAUGGAUACUUCUACUCCAGGAAUUUGAUAUGGAGAUUGUUGAUAAGAAGGGCAUAGAGAAUGGUGUUCCAGAUCAGCUUUCUAGAUUGAGGAUGGAAGAUCCAAUCCCUAUUGAUGAUUCCAUGCCUAAAGCACAUCUUAUGGUUGUUGAGAUAUGCAAGGAGAUGCAUCAAACAGGAAUGGCGAUGAAGAAGCUUCAGUGUCUAGCAGUCAAUUCAGAAAGUACGCCCUGGUACGCGGAUGUUGGGAACUAAAAGGUAUGUGGACCCUAUUCGAUCUAGACACAAACGAAUUCAACAAAACACAAAACAAACCCUAAACUAAACAAACGAAAUUAAGCAAGAGAUUAGGGAAGAGGGGUUCAGAUGAGCUCUUUAGGAGAUGCAUAGCAGAAGGUAAUAUGAUCUCCCUAGGAUAGAAAUCCGAUGAAGGCUGAAGAUGGGUGAUAUGCGACGUGAUCUGGUUGAUGACGAUGGACGAUGGCUUUGAGUGAUGAUGUGUGAAGAUCGAAUGAUGAAAACAAUGGUUCGAUGGAGAUAGAUUUUAGGUGGUUGUAUGGAUUGGAUCAAGUGAAGAGUUUCUGAAUCACAAAGUGUAUAGAAAUCCGGAAAUCUAGAACGCAUUCAAGAAUUCAAAUUGAGAGAAAAAGUGUGACAAUACUUGUUCAUACAACUUCUCCGCUAAAAGAGAAAAGAGGCGUAGCUUUAGGUUUUAAAUACCCUAGGGCUCGACACUCCAAACAACAAGAAGUUCAAAACCAAAACAACAAGUCGUUUUAAGGAAAUAAUAAAAACAGCAACAUUUCCCGACGUUCUGUAGUAGUACAGAAGUCGGCUGAACUAGUACAGAAGCUUGACGACCUGUAGUAGUACAUAACUACAUUAUUCCCCCUUUGGUAAUGACUUCUAGAUAACUCGACGUAGUGAUCCAUUUGCCUCAUUAAAAACCAUGCUGAGAAAACCCAUUGGGACAAAACUCAGCUAUGGGAAAAAGAGUACAAACUUCUCACCUAAGUUACCUAGUCAUCAUUAUCGGGUGAAGUCUUCAGGUUAGAUAUGUUGAAGACUUGGAUUCUUGGUAGGUUGAAUGAUCUGUCAGCUAUGAGUGAGUGUGCUCCCUUGGCCAUCUCCUUAGCUAUUGAACGAGUGAUCCUUCCCACCAUCUCCGGUUUCUCUGUAGCCUCUGGCUCCGUGCUGGCCACGAUCAUAUCAUCCUCCCCCUCUUCAAAAGGAUUUGUCCUCAAAUCGGAAUCUGCAUAGUAAGGAAAUAAGUCGGAAACAUUGAAUGUUGAUGAUAUAUUAUACUUACAUUGAAGAGCAAUCUGGUAUGCGUUAUUAUUGAUCCUCUUGAUGACUUCAAAUGGGCCAUCAGCUCGUGGUAGAAGCUUGCUAUUACUCUCUUCUGGGAACCUAUCCUUGCGUAAAUGAAUCCACACUAAGUCUCCUUCUUCAAAGAUGAGCUCCUUUCUGCCCUUGUUCGCAUGCUUCUCGUACUGCUUGGUUCUUUUCUCUAUAUUCUCCUUAGCUUUAGCAUGUAUCCUCCUGACAUGUUCAGCCUUUUCUUUGCCAUCAAGGCUACACUUCACACUUAAAGGUAAAGGAAUCAAGUCUAGAACUGAUUGUGGGUUAAAACCAUAAACAAUUUCAAAAGGAGAGAAGAGAGUAGCAGAAUGCUUAGCGUGAUUAUAAGCAAGCUCAACAUGUGGUAGACAUUCUUCCCAUGACUUGAGAUUGCUUUUUACUAAAGUCCUGAGGAAUGUAGAUAGCGUCUUGUUCACUACUUCAGUUUGCCCAUCUGUUUGAGGGUGACAUGUGGUUGAGAAUGACAACUUGGUUCCUAGCUUAGCCCAUAACGUCCUCCAGAAGUGUCCUAGAAACUUUGUAUCUCGGUCUGAAACGAUUACUUGAGGCACUCCAUGUAGACGUACUACUUCCCUGUCAACCACGACAAAAAUCGAAUCUCUACCAUUUCUGGUUCGAGGUAAGCCAAGAAAUGGUGGUUUGGACUUGGGUCUUCUCUUGGGCUGUUCUACAUGGGCUGGGGCCUUGUGGUGAUUCAAAUGAGUGUGUGGACUCCCUUCAUAGCUGAUCCAAGUGUUAAAAUAUUUCAAAUCCUCAUAGCUCGCAAUCUGAUGUAGUUCAGGCAGUCAGUCAGCGAGUAGUUCAGCAUGCCUGUCAGCAAGUAGUUCAGCAUGCUUGUCCGCGAGUAGAUCAGAAUGUAGAUCAGCUAUCAUCUUUGAAUCAUAUGGAUGGUGAAUGAUUCCUUGAUGACUUGGUGUUGCCUCAUUAAAUACAUCCUUGUACUCCUCUAUAAUCUCUAUCAUCUCGCGUGGAAGCUCUUGUUCUGACUUAGUACUGGUGAGUGUCUCCUUAUACACAAACAUGAAUGUGGUCAUCUCUGGAUCAAAUAGCUUGUUGAACUCACUGUGACUGAUGUACAGGCUGUGAGACACUUUCCCUGUAUCCUUGCGGUUCAUGUGAAGCUGGUCCUUGUAGAUUUCGCUGGGUGUAAGUGGUAAAAGAGUGAUCUUGCGUCCUUUGAACUCAAAUGACUGCUUGUUGGUGUAGCCAUCCUGAAACACUCUUCUGUCGAACUGCCAUGGUCUUCCCAACAGAAUAUGACUUGACUUCAUUGGAAUCACAUCACAUAGCAACUCAUCCUUAUACUUCCCAAUCGUUAGUUUCACCAUCACUUGCUGCGAAACUGUUAAAGCUCCCUUGUUGUUCAAGGACUGUAGCUGAUAAGGUCUUGGAUGUGAAGUGGUCUUGAGAUUAAGCUUCUGUACCAUCUCUUCACUGGCUGCAUUAGUACAACUUCCACCAUCAACGAUCAAAGUGCAGACCUGGUCUUGAACCAUACAUCUGGUGUGAAAUAGGUUCUCGCGCUGACCUCUAUCAUCUGGGUGUAUCUGAACACUUAAAGCUCUGCGUGCCACUAACAUCUCUCCCAUGACUGCAGUUUCUCCUUCCUGAUCUAGUUCAGGCUCUGGUUCACUUUCUGAACUAUCUACAGGCACAAUUUCUCCUCCUUCUUGAAGAAGAAACAUCUUCUUUUUAGGACAGUCUCUCGAGUAACGCCCCAUUUCUUGGCACUUGAAACACCUGGUAUGACUAGUAGAGGUGCUACUCUUGGGCUUGUAUUCGAUUUUAACUUCCUCUUUGACGGUGGCUGUCGCGGGUUUACUAUCCUUGGUGAAGGCGGGUUUGCUGAACCCUCUUGGCUUGGACAUAUUAGGCGUAAAUGCUGUUCUCACCCCCUUUCUCUUGAUCUGUGAUUCAAUUAGCUCUUCCUUAUGUACCAUUUCCUGAACAUCUUCAUAGUUCUGCAACUCUACCUUGUCUUGAAUCUCUCUGUUUAAACCUCCAAGGAAUCUUGACAUAACCAUGUCUUCACUUUCUCUUAGAUCAGCCCUGAUGAUAAGCGUUUCCAGCUCUUGAUAGUAAUCUCUAACAUACUUAGUACCUUGAAUGAGACGCCUAAGUUUGUUAAGAGUCUCUCUUUGGUAAUGUGUGGGUACAAAUUUCUUCCUCAUUUGCGUGACUAACUGUUCCCAUGUAGUGAUAGCAGGCUCUCUCUGUCGAUGUCUAGUAAGUCCUAGCUGCUCUCACCACAACAAAGCAUAGCCAUUGAAUUCGGAUAUGGCUAUCUUCACCUUGUUCAGCUCAUAAGUACCCUGAACCUGAAAGUUAGACUCCAUCUUCCUUUCCCAGUCUAGAUAAGUCUCUGGAUCAUUGGUACCAUGGAAAGAAGGAUACUGAAUCUUGAGAUGAUUCAGCUGCUGCUUCAGAGGAUCAUAAUCUCUUCCAUGAUCUAUGUUUCUGCUUCUCCUCACUGUCUCUUGACUAUGAUCUGAAACGUCAUCUUCUUCAGAACAAUCUCUAUCUGACUCAAUGUAUAUUCGAUGCCCAGCUACUUGUUCAGCACGUCGUGGACGUAUAUGAUCUCGGCCAGUCCUACGGUUCCCCCUUUCUGUGCUCGGAAUAUCUCUUCUCUGAUUGAAACACGUUUCUCUUCCCCCAGUAGGUGAAUUAGCUGUUCUGUUCCGUGUAUGCUUUGAAGUAGUUCCCACGUGAGCCUUUCCUUUAGCUAAACGACGGGCCUCAUUAGGGCUAGGUGGUUCUGUAGAACUUUGAUCUGAAGUGCUAGAUGUUUGAGCUAUGUCUUUGAUCUGCUUCUCAAACUUGUUACUGAGCUGCUCCAUCUGUUGCUGAAACUGAGUAGACAUUGUCCUGUUUGCUUCUGCUAUUUGCUUAGACAUGGCUUGGUUCAAAGCUUCCAUAGCUUCUGGAGAGAGCUCCAUUGUACCUGCAAAUUAAAGAAGAACUCGCAGUAACUUGUUCUUUGAAUGAGAAAACAAAGAAACGAAAUAAACUCUAAGACUCUGAAUUUUAAACAAGAAACACGACUUGCAGACCUAGGUCAAGCAAAACAACACAAGCUUGAACAAUACCAAACCCUAAAGCUAACAAACUUGAAAUAACUAAACCCUAAUUGCAGUCUAAUUUCGAAUCAACACAAAACUAACUUCUAAACGAAAUAGACACAAACGCACUAGCAAAAACUAAACCCUAUUCAAUCUAGACACAAACGAAUUCAACAAAACACAAAACAAACCCUAAACUAAACAAACGAAAUCAAGCAAGAGAUUAGGGUUCUAGAAUCGCUUAGCCUUGGCACAGAGUUGGCUCUGAUACCACAUAAUAUGAUCUCCCUAGGAUAGAAAUCCGAUGAAGGCUGAAGAUGGGUGAUAUGCGACGUGAUCUGGUUGAUGACGAUGGACGAUGGCUUUGAGUGAUGAUGUGUGAAGAUCGAAUGAUGAAAACAAUGGUUCGAUGGAGAUAGAUUUUAGGUGGUUGUAUGGAUUGGAUCAAGUGAAGAGUUUCUGAAUCACAAAGUGUAUAGAAACCCGGAAAUCUAGAACGCAUUCAAGAAUUCAAAUUGAGAGAAAAAGUGUGACAAUACUUGUUCAUACAACUUCUUCGCUAAAAGAGAAAAGAGUCGUAUCUUUAGGUUUUAAAUACCCUAGGGCUCGACACUCCAAACAACAAGAAGUUCAAAACCAAAACAACAAGACAUUUUAAGGAAAUAAUAAAAACUGCAACAUUUCCCGACGUUCUGUAGUAGUACAGAAGUCGGCUGAACUAGUACAGAAGCUUGACGACCUGUAGUAGUACAGAAGUACAUUAUUCCCCCUUUGGUAAUGACUUCUAGAUAACUCGACGUAGUGAUCCAUUUGCCUCAUUAAAAACCAUGCUGAGAAAACCCAUUGGGACAAAACUCAGCUAUGGGAAAAAGAGUACAAACUUCUCACCUAAGUUACCUAGUCAUCAUUACCGGGUGAAGUCUUCAGGUUAGAUAUGUUGAACACUUGGAUUCUUGGUAGGUGGAAUGAUCAGACAACUAUGAGUGAGUGUGCUCCCUUGGCCAUCUCCUUAGCUCUUGAACGAGUGAUCCUUCCCACCAUCUCCGGUUUCUCUGUAGCCUCUGGCUCCGUGCUGGCCACGAUCAUAUCAGAAGGGGAAGUGCAGAAAGUGCUUGAGCACUGUCAUGGAUCCGCUUAUGGAGGACACUUUGCCACAUUCAAAACAGUUCAAAAGGUUCUACAAGCAGGCCUUUGGUGGCCAACUUUGUUCAAAGAUACAAAGAGUUUCAUCACCAAGUGUGACGCCAACCAGAGGAUGGGUAACAUCAAUAUAAGGAAUGAUAUGCCUCAGAACCCGAUUUUGGAAGUAGAAAUUUUUUAUGUUUGGGAAAUUGAUUUGAUGGGACCGUUCAACCCUUUAUCAAACGGCAAUGUCUACGUUCUGGUUGUAGUUGAUUAUGUCUCCAAAUGGGUUGAAGCCAUUUCAAGUCUCACCAACGAUCAUCUUUCCCAUAUAUGGAGUACCGAGAGCAGUGAUAAGUGAUGGUGGUACACAUUUCAUCAACAUGGUUUUUGAAAGCAUGUUGAAGAAAUAUGGUGUGAGAAACAUACGGUGUCUACAGCCUACCAUCCCCAGACAUGUGGACAAGUUGAUGUCUCUAACAAGCAGAUAAAAGAAAUCUUGUCAAAAAUUGUUAGGGCUUCAAAGAAAGAUUGGUCUACCAAGUUGGAUGAGGCUCUAUAGGCGUACAUGACAGCUUUCAAGACACCAAUAGGAAGGACGCCUUUUCAGUUGGUGUAUGAUAAAGCAUGUCAUCUCCCUGUGGAGAUUGAGUAUAAGGCACUUUAGGUUAUCAAGCUUCUAAACUUGGAUAUUGAUGCAGCCCAAGCAAAAGAGUUCUUGACAUCCAUGAACUUGAGGGAAUAAGACUUUAUGCUUUCGAAAGUUUAGAAAUCUACAAGGAGAGAACCAAGACAUUCCAUGACAAGAAGAUUGUUGUUAAGGAGUUUAAGGCUGGUGAUCAUGUCUUGCUGUCAAUUCCAGACUUAAGUUGUUUCCUGUAAAGCUCAAGUCUAAAUGGUCCGGAUCAUUUGAAAUCAAGGAUGUUUUGCCAUUUGGUACAAUCACUCUCCUGAACAAGGAUGCUAGUGAGUUCAUUGUGAAACGGUCACGAUUUGCACUCAUCAUCACUCACCCUCACACACUCCACAUCACUCGAUUAUGACCUCACUUGACCGGUGACUCUCACUCGAGCUAUGUGAGCACGGGAGCUAAUAUUUGAUCCAGUCGACGUAACCGGCUGUGCCACACUCGAUCGGUCUAGUUCCACUCUCUCAGGGUGACCCGUCACAACUCACUCGAACGGUGAAGUCUCACUCGAGCUGUAUUCACUCGAUUUCACCACUCGAGUUCCCAUCAGUGACUCGACGCACACGCGGGUACUAGCAGCCAAUUGACCGACUCGUACUCAGAGCUUACUCGAUCGUCGGGUAUAGAAGGCACUCGAUCCACACUACACUCACUCGACGGACCUGUCUUCACCAGCUCACUCGAGCAACUUCACUCAAUUCACACAUCCGAGCUAGUAACCGUCACAGCCAUCAACUCAGUCGUUCAUCUUUUCACGCGAGACUCAAUAUCUGCAGCAUUGCUUACUCGACCGACAAGUGAGAAAGUGAUAAAUCUGCUAAGUGCUACUUCUCUUUGCUAUUUUCUUUCAAAUUUGUUCAUUUCUCUUGAUACUUGGCACACUAACUGGCUAAAUUUUAGCCUUAAGUUUCAAUUGUUUCAGUAUCACCAUGUCAAGAGAUUUGUUGCAUGAAAUGCGUGAGAAAUAUGGUUGUAAACCAACAGAGCGUGCAUCUCCUCAGUGUAUGUCCAAGGUCUAUAUGGAGAAGAAGAAAGUUGCAUAUCAGAAAGCGUCUGGUGUUGAUCCAUCUCAGGCAAGAGGUAGAGCCAAUAAAUCUUCGGGUAAGAAACCAAUGGAGCUGCAGGAUGAAGCCAGUAAUUACGAGCUCAAAGAGCACCCACAUGUCCCAUCUCGCAAGUCUAUGCAGAAGAAGAAGACAGAGAAGUGGUUAGCUCCGGGAGAGUACUACAAGCUGUUUUAGUAGCAUGAUUUUCAGGGCACGAGGUAUCCUUGCCAGCAGACAAUAGAUGAGCUAGCUAUCUCUGAUGAUGUCAAGUAUAUGUUUGAGCACUGUCAUCUCCUCACACACAUGACUAGUCCGCACAUCGCAUACAGAGAGGAGACCAUACAAUUCCUUUGUACGCUUAUGAGGAUGAUCCUGACAUGGAGACAGAUGGAGGAUUGGGAUACAUCACCUUCACUAUCCAUGAUCAUGAGUAAUUCCUGACUAUCAGAGAGCUAGAGGUUUGUUUGGAUUCCCUAAUGUAACAGGGACUGGGCAGAAGAUUGAUAGGGAUGAGUUGUCGCUUCAUCUAGGACCAAGACCAACAACAUCAUAAGUCCUGUUGUUUGCUACUUCCAUCGAUCAAUUGUGAACGUGUUCUUCGCAGGGGGGACAACAGGGACAAUGACCGGAGUUGGAGAUGAUUGAUCUUGCACUUAAGGAUCUCUUGUUAACCGCAGCAGAUGGGACACUACUGCGAGGUGAUACAAUUGAUACAUCACCCUCAUUCACUCUGUUGCACCAACUACUCAGCUACAGAACUUGGGUACUGAAGCUGAACAGCUGUAGAACUCAAGGAGUUAUGUGCAUGAGUUCAGACCCUAUUGCACCGAGAUUCAUAGACAUUCAAAACUUGAGGCAAGCUCAAUGGUUGCAUUGGGAGAAACGCAACGGGUUGUAUGUGUACUACUUCACUCACCUAGUACUUGGUGAAGCGCUGUUUUUGCUUCCUUGUAUUGCUUUCACUAGGAUACUGGAAGGAAGCAACAUUGAGUUUGCACCUCUUGCAGAGGCUCUCUACACAACAGAUGGUGAGGAAGCAAUAGAGGUAUCUGAGAAAGAGGAUGAUCGCAUGGAAGAGGAUUCAGAUGAGUACAGACCAGAAAGGUACCACUUCAAAGACUACACAGCGCCUAAACAAGGCAAGAGUUUGGUAGAGGCUCACAAGCGUAUCAGUACACUACAGAAGUGGAACAUGCUGCAAGACAAGGCCAUUCAAUCUAUGAAGUCAAAGAUGAAGAGCUUCAUGAGUAAGUUCAACUGCUCCUCCACAACCACAUCAUUUGCAGACUAGUGCAACGCCGUUUGUCCACGAGUGAUGUCCCGGCACGCUACAGAACUCCUUCUCCACCACGACAUUCUGCUUAUGACCAAAGGCAGCGAAAUGUUUAUUCUUCUCCUCUGAGACAGUCCUCCCAUGAGCUUAGGGAUAGCAAGAAGAAGGAGAAAAGGAAAAAGAAGAAGGCAGCGAGACAGAAGGCAAAAGCUAGUUCAUCAACUUGCCAGGCGAGCAUCAUGUUGAGGAUGUGACCAUGGAUCAAGCCGAGGAUCACAUUGAGGACAUGACUGUUGAUCCAGGUGUGUAUCAUUUCCAAGAUUUUACUGAGGAUCUAGUUUAACAUCAGGUUAAGGAUCCAGUCGACCAGUUAGCAAAGGCUCCUCCUACGCAGCCUGCACCAGGCGCUUAUACAAGCGAGUCCAUGACUGCAUACCUGGACUGCUAUUUUUAGUAAGGUACCACUCCAAACUUUCAUCUGUAUAUACCAUUGCAUUUUCAUAGUUUUGUUUGUUUGAUUCUCAAACCAGCUCUCAAAUUUUUAUUACACAAGAAAUGUGUAAUUUAAGUUUAGGGGAGGGUUUGGGAUGACAUUUUAUGUUGUGUUCUCUUUUCUUAUUUUGAAUUUUUAGCAUAUAAUUUGCAUUCAUAUAUGUGCAUUGAAAACCACUAAAAAUUUGAAAAAUUUUCAGAAAAAUCUUUAAAAACAGAGUGAUCAUGUAGCUUGCAUUUGCAUAUUAGGAUUGAGUCUAGAUUGUUUCAUGUAGGACUGUUACAUUAGCAUAAGGGGCGAUGAUGAGUUACACCUUGUUGAUUUGCUAUGAUUCACCAGUUGAGAUCAAUGCCCUGGUUGUUAGCUUUUUGAUGCAUGAUGAUUGAACUUGAAGUAAGUCUGAAACAAACUUGGAAUUCAUGAAGAGCAUUCUUGAACUUGGUUGAAACAUGUUGUGAUAUGAUCUCAUUGCUUAUCCUAUAAGAACUUAAUCUUGACUUGCAAAUAUCUGGUUGUGUUUUGCUUGCAUGCUCAUGGUCACCAUAUACAUAUUUGGAUCAUCUUCCUCCUUUCACCACUCUUGUUGAUCCAAGUAGCUGAUCUUUCUUUUGAUCAGUUUGCCACACCCACAGCCUAUCCUUUUCUUUCAAGCCAAUUGAUAAUUUUUGAGUGGUAGGUCUUUUACCGGAUUAUGCUUGGGGAGAACGUGUUAGGUAUGAGCCGAUAGGAUUAAAAUCUUGAGUAGUUCUGAUUUUCACUUUCAAAUCAGAUAGGACUAGGUCGGGAUUCUUACUUGUGUUUGGGAUUGGAAUGAUUGUGGAAAGAAAGAAGAGAAACAGAAAAAGUUGUGUCCUUAGGAGGAGAAUGUUUUCUAGAAGUUUAUAACCUAGUGAUUGAUUUUCGUGGGGUUAGCAUGAUAUACAGAGAAUGGUUCUGGGAUGUUAAGAAAGAGAAAAAGUUUUGAUGUCUUAUAACGUAAGAAGAAAACAGAACCAUAGUUAAGAAGAAAUCCCCUAUCCACUAGUAUUGAUAAGAAACUUCUCCUAAGGCAAAAAGAAAAAAAUGGGAUUGAUGUUGAAGGUUAGACAUAGGGAUCAUCCGGGUUUAGAUGAUUAGGAGUAAGCACUUGGGAACCAUUGGGUAGUCAAGGUUUUAUUCCUGUAUGCAUUUGUUUGUCCUUACCUUUAGCAUUCUCCCUAAAGCUCAAUCCAUUCAUUGAGAGAUCCUUGUCCUGAAAUUGUUUAAACCCUCAUGAUUCUUAAAACCUUUUUCUGCCUAGCCAAUUGAGUUUGUUAAGCCUUGCACAACCAGAUUCAUAUACUUGAAUAAUGAAUGUUAAAAGGAAUGAAUGAUUUGAAUGCAUGUGUAGAUCAAGGGAUAUAAUCAGUUUCGGAUUUGAUGAGUUUGUCUAAAGUCGUUAAGUAAAGUUCUCUCAGCAUGCAUCAAAGACUUAGCAACCAGGACAUUGAUUUUAACUGCUCUAUCUUGCAAGUUAUAGGUUCUGAGACCCCAUUUUCAAACCUCUCUUUCACUUUGUUUCUUUUUGCUUUGCUUGAGGGCAAGCAAAGACUAAGUUUGGGGGAGUUGAUAAGUCUGUAUUUCAUCGCUUUUUGAGCAUGCAUUCAUCAUCUUUUCAGCAUCAUUCACUUGUUGAUUUGCAUCAUAUUGAUCCCUUUCUGCAUGUUUUACAUACUUAGGUAGGUUUUAUGCAUAUCAUGCAUAUCUUGCAUACAUUGUGCAUAUUUGGAGUGUUUCAGGUACUUAGGAGACAUGCAGAGCGAAGCAGAGUAACAAGCGUUACUCGACAUGCAUACGAUCGAGUGGGACGAUCGGUGAGAAGCAAGGAUGCGUUGCACUUACAUCGACGAUCGAGUGAGCAGCAGACGUAUACGAUCGAGUGGCAGAUCGAGCAGAAGGGAAGCAAAGCAGAACUACCUGUCACUCGAUGCACUCACUCGAGUGACAUGAUCGAGCAAAGCAAAGAAGUAGCUGAUGGUUUUACAGGUCACUCGACACGAUCACUCGAGUGAAACGAUCGAGCAAAGCAGAGAAGAUGGUCACUCGAGGUGCUCACUCGACCAACUUAGUCAAAACAACCUUUGAACCGCUUUUACGUUGUCGUUUUAUGUUUUAAGGUUUUCCCAAACAUUGUUAUAAAUAGGCAUCAUUUGGAUUGCCCAAGGGAUCGAGUUUUAUUUUAUUAGGUUUUUGUUGUUAGCCACCAAACGAUCCUGAGAAUUGUAAUCGUGAUUUAUUUGGAGUUAUUGAUAUUUUGCAGUUAGUUCUUGAAUCAUUGUUGUUACUCUUCCUGUCAUCUUUAUUAUUAUGCAUGUUUUGAACGAUUCUUGUUUCAUGAUGUUUAACAUGAUUUCUGCGUCUGAGUAGUGUUAGGGUUCUUGAGGAUGGGAUAGAUUAGGUGGAGGAUGUUAGUUUGCUAGAGUGUUUAUGUUAGAUUCGUUUUGUUUCCCUUCUGGACUAGAGUUUUAUUAGCUAGUUCUUCUCUGAUCAAUUGGAACUGGGUCAUAUACAUUUCAUACCCGAAAGGUAUAUGAUGAAAUGUCUGAACCAACUAGUGCCAGAGAUUUACAUGCUUAGCCCAAGAGAUUGGUUGCCUAAGAUGUUUAUUGACAUUAAUGAGCUGUUUCUUUAUGCCUGCUUACUACAUGUUUCAUCAAUGAGAAUUGAGAUUAGGAAGUGUUGUAAACUUGAUAGUUUCUGCCAAGAGAUUGGAUUGACUAGUAUUAGAAGUUCAUUGUCUAGGGAUUAUAAUGUUUGCAGUUUGAUAAACACUCGAAGUAGAUUAGCAUACUCCACCUACAUCAAUAACCUCAUCCUCGGGAUCUUCUAUCCAUUUGUGCUUUCUGUUUAAUUCUCUUGUUAUUUACUUGGUCUGCUUUGUUUUCUUGCCAGUAUCAAUAAUCGUUACGUUUUAGUUUAUGCAUGAUAGUCUAUGUUUUACAGCCUUACAUUUAUCGCAUGUUUAGCAUGUUUGCUUAGGAUCACUGAAAACCAAAAGAUCAUUUAUACCUGCUUGACUUAAACAUUUCUGAUAUAUCUUGAUUGCUAGCAUCACACCUGAUUGGAUUGAUACCUAUUGUACUGCAAUGACAUGAUAGUACUCUAGGGUAAUUGAUAGAAAAAUCCUAGUAUCAGGUAGUCAAGGUUUUAUUCCUGUAUGCAUUUGUUGGUCCUCACCUUUAGCAUUCUCCCUAAAGUCCUCACCUUUAGCAUUCUCCCUAAAGCUGAAUCCAUUCAUUGAGAGUUUCUUGUCCUGAAAUUGUUUAAACCCUCUUGAUUCUCAAAAUCUUUUUCUUCCUUGCCAAGUGAGUUUGUUAAGUCUUGCACAACCAGUCUUGAAUAAUGAAUGUUAAAAUGAAUGAAUGAUUUGAAUGCAUGUGUAGGUCAAAGGAUAGGAUCAGGUUCGGAUUUGAUGAGUUUGUCUAAAGUUUUUAAGUAAAGUUCUCUCAGCAUGUAUCAAAGACUUAGUAACCAGAACAUUGAUUUUAACUGCUCUAUCUUGCAAGUUACAAGUUCUGAGACCCCAUUUUCAAACCUCUCUUCCACUUUGUUUUUUUUUGCUUUGCUUGAAGGCAAGCAAAGACUAAGUUUGGGAGAGUUGAUAAGUCUGUAUUUCAUCAUUUUUUGAGCAUGUAUUCAUCAUCUUUUUAGCAUUAUUGACUUGUUGAUUCGCAUCAUAUUGAUCACUUUCUGCAUGUUUUGCAUACUUAGGUAGGUUUUGUGCAUAUCAUGCAUGUAUUGCAUAUUGGAGUGUUUCAGGUACUAAGCAGACAUGCAACACAACGUAGAGGAACAAGUAUCACUCGACAUGCACACGAUCGAGUAGGAUGAUCGAGUAAGCAGCAGAGAUACAUUGCAAAUACAUCGACGAUCGAUUGAGCAGGAGGCGUACAAGUUCGAGUAGCAGAUCGAGUGAGUAGAAGGGACGCAAAGCAGAAUCACCUGUCACUCGAUGCAUAGACUUGAGUGACACGGUCGAGCAAAGCAAAGGAGUAGCAGAUGAUUUCACAGAUCACUCGACACGCUCACUCGAGAUACAUGGUUGAGUAAGCUGUAAUGAUGCAGAGAAGAAAUUAUGUGUUACUCGACACGCUCACUCGACCAACAAGGUCAGUACAACUUUUAAACCGCUUUUUACUUUGUCGUUUUAUGUUUAAAAUUUUUUCCAAACAUUGGUAUAAAUAGGUCUCUUUUCGCAUUGCCCAGGGGAUCGAGUUUUUAUCUUUAGGUUUUUUAUGUUAGCCACAAAACAAUCCAGAAAAUUGUAGUUCAGAUAUCUUUUAAGUUAUUAAGAUUUUGCACUUAGUUCUUGGAUCAUUAUUGUUAAUCUUCCUAUCAUCUUUAUUACUAUGCAUGUUUUGUAGAAUUCUUGGUUUAUGAUGUUUAACAUGAUUUUUGUGUCUCAGUAGUGUUAGGGUUCUUGAGGAUGAUAUAGAUUAGGUGGAGAAUGUUAGUUUACUAGAGUGUUUAAGUUAGAUUCGUUUGUUCCCUUCUGGAUUAGAGUAUUCAUAGCUAAUUCUUCUCUGAUCAAGUGGAAUUAGAUCCCAGACAUUUCAGGACCUACCAUGUGUUCGAUGAAAUGUCUGAACAACUAAUACAAGAGAAAUACUUGCUUAGCCUAAGAGAUUAUGUGUCUAAGAAGUUUAUUUACAUUAAUGAACUGUUUUUUCAUGCCUGUUUACUGCAUGUUUCAUCAAAGAGAUUUGAGAUUAGGAAGUGCUGUAAAAAUGAUAGUUUAUGCCAAGAGAUUGGAUUAACUAGUAUUUGAUGUUCAUUGUCUAGGGAUUAGUAUAUUUGUCGUUUGUUAAACACUCUAAGUAGAUUAGCAUACUCCACCUACAUCAAUUACCUCAUCCUUAGGAUCUUCUAUCCAUUUGUGAUUUCUGUUUUAUUCACUUGCUAUUUACUUAUUCUAUUCUGUCUUCUUGCUAGUAUUGAUAAUCAUUACGUUUUAGCUUAUGCAUGAUAGCCAAUAUUUUGCAGCCUUACAUUUAUCGCAUGUUUAACAUGUUCGCUUAGGAUCAUUGAAAACCAAAAUCAUUUAUACUUUGCUUGCCUUAAUUAUUUCUGAUAUAUCUUGAUUGCUAGCAUCACACCUGAUUGGACUGAUACCUAUUGUACUGCAAUGACAUGAUAGUACUCUAGGGUAAUUGGUAGUAAAAUCCUAGUCUCACAAGCAAUCUAAGCAAACAACCUAGAAAACAAUCUAGACUCGAGCAAACAAGCAUAAGGCAAACCUAGCAAGCAAGACUUCUAGUACUCCAACACUUAGCCUACAAAGAACAAGGAAACUUCUCUGAGAAAAGUUCUAAAGUUCAAAGGCUCCCUAUCAUGCAUCUACAAAAGAGAGGGUUUCGGGUAUCUUACUCGGAUUUUGUAAAAGGGUUGGCUAAGAAGGCUUGAAAGAAAAGUUUGAAUAAUCAUGAAGAAUAUCCAACGCUUUAAAAGUACAACCGCUGUUGAAGUUCAAGCUAAAAACGCUCCUAAAUUUACAAAAUCUAGUCGAGAAGACAUAGAUAAGAAAGCUACCCUUAGCCCAAUCCUAACAAAAGACUUACUACCCUUCCCUUACUGGUCGCAGAGACUUUUGCACUUUUCACAAGGGCAGAAGUUUGUCGGUGGCUUACCUGCUCCGGAUGUGGGACAAUGGGUGGGACGGAUGUGGAGGAGGCGGCUGCGUCGACGGUCCGGCUUCGGCAGAUGGCCCUCUAGCGGUCGGUUAUGGGCAAUGGAAUGAUUAAUGCACAUAACGUACGACGACGUCAGUGGGAUUGAGGCAUCAAGCCUUGGACAGUUCACGGUUCGGUGGUUGAUCGAUCCACACGAACCACAAAGAAUGAAACAUGUCCGAUGGUUUCAUGUAGAGUUUCUCACAUAUUUUCAUGCAGAUGCCCUUGUUCUCGAACUUCCUCUUGCCGGCGACUCCACUAGGCAUGGAACGCGACCUUCUCUCUCGUCGGUAACUCUUGGGCGCUUCCGGCUGGCUUCUCCUUCAAGUCGGACUCUUGUCUUAACAAGAUUUCCUUCGGUCACCAUCUGGUUGACUAUCUCCAUCAAACGGUCUUGGGGCUGGUCUUCAAUCUUCCUUAGGCGAUAAAGCGUGGCUUCAUUACUUAAUUAUGCUUCCAACAUCAUCGGGUCAAAUCUUGGGAUUGGUUCUUCUUCUGGCAGCUCAGGUGCAUUGACAUUAAGGUCGGGCAAUGCAACUUGGGACUCGACGGAUAUUGGCUCACUUUGGGCGGACGGACGGGUUCUUGGUCUGACUUCGAUCGUUAACAUUGUUGGAUGGCUACGACAACUUCUAAAACUCCUUCUUCUUCCAGGGUAAGAGACUCGAACGACUCGGACGUCUCUUCUUCUUCUUUGCUGGAUCGGUCUUCACUCGAUCCUCCAUCAUCUCCAUCGGCAACUAGGUCGAUAAUCGGUCCGGGAACAAUUUCUUCUUCCAUUGGGUCUACGUCUUGGUCGGCUACUUCGGCUACUUGGUCAUUUCCUUCAAUAUUCGGCAACUGGAACAUCCCCAUCAGAAUCUCGUUCGAUGUUCCGGCUGGCUCUCCCAUCAAUUUGGCCCACAAGGCUGCUGCUUCAGGGUUGAUGUUCAUGGCUGGGAAAUCCAUGAACUCAAGUAAAAUGUGUUGAAUUUGAUCGGCAGCUUCAGCAUCUUCAUGGUCAUAUCCUCCGAUUGGGACUGCAACAAUUCUUCCUGGAUCAUCUAAUGUGAUCUCGAUCUCGCUUGGUGCUCUUUGGUUUGCUUUGACUGACUGAUCGUCUUGAUUAACUUUGACUUCGAUAGGGGCUUUGAGAUCUUUGGAUGGAUCUUUUUCCACUGAUGAUUCGACUUCGACUUUCACAAAUGGGUUUAAGUUCUGAGUAACGCUGAACGAGGUGCUACUACUAUCGGAAUCGGCAGGUAGCCAUCCACACAGAUGGCCAGGUUCGUCAUGAAUCGGCCUUCGUCCCUCAUACCCCUUUCCACAACCAAAUGCACCUAUAGACAUCUGCACCAGACAAACAAGUAAGCACCUAUACUUGGUCUAAAAACAGAAAACCCUAUAUGCAAAACAACUAGACAAACAAUCGGAUCUAAAUAUGUUUUUGCGACUCAUUUACUCGAUAAAAUGUUUUUGAAAAGCAUGUUUACAAAGAAAAGUUACCAAAGCGUUUAUAAGUUGGAUCCAUCGAGAAAAUAAUACAUAAUAGAAGAGUAAUAUUUUGCAAAAAACAUGAAAAAUAUUCUGACUCCGGCUCCUAAUUUUUGCUACAGUCUAGACUCCUUAAGAAUAAACCUGCAAAACAAAAUGAGCUUUGAGUAAUCUAGUAUUACUCAGUGAGCCGGAUACCUCCAACCUAUCAUGCAAUUUCCCCCCCCCCCCCCCCCAAAAAAACCUCAAAAGCAAAGAAGGUCAGAAAAGCGUUAGCGGAAGCAUAGAAAGCAAACAAGCAAGACAAACUAAGACUCGACUAAUCAGACUUAAGCUAAGAAUCGCUAGACUCCACUCCCUAGCCUAUCGAUAAUCUGAUCCGUUCCUUUUUAAAAUUCAUCUCUGGAUGAAACCACGAAGGCAUUCAGUCCGGAGGAGACAUCUUGGUUACAUCGUCAUGCAACAUCUUGGGCUAGUCGCGAGCUUGUGACCAAGCAUCCUGGUCAAAGACCUGAGAAACCACAAAGGUUAACUCUUCGAGACCCGCAUCGCCAUCGUCGAGGAAACAAAUUAUCAAACCUAAGAAUCAAGUCUACAGAUCUGAAACUAAGGACUCUCUGAAAGCAAGAAAUUCUACACAAAGAAGAUCAGUACUAGAAGAGAUAAAAAACAAGCAAGCAAGCAAAACAAGCAAUCAACAAGUAAACAAAGCAAAGCAAGCAAGUAAACGUGUGAUUAAUCUAGGUGAUAGUUCUCAGUGAUACUAAGAAACAAGACCUAUCCGGAUUAACAGGCGGAUUCAUUUUAGUUGGUCAUAUUAGCAAGCACUAUCUUGUAAUUAAGCCGGAUUGUUUAAGCAUGUAGGUUCAUAUUUGCAGAAAUUAAAGCCUAUCAUGCAGGUUCUACAAAAGAAAAGGCAAGCAAAACACGCAAUAGGUUCAUACACAAGUCCAGAGACUUAUGCAGCACCCCACACAAUUUGUAUCGUACUAACAGUGUUUUUAUCGACAAUUUCUUCCUUUCUCUCAGCGAGGCACGCUCAUGAACACUCCUUCUUUUUGGCUCAACCUUCGGUAGCAGACCUCUCGACUCUGGCAACAGAUUUGUCGAUCCUUCGGCAGCAAUUAAUCGAUCGGAGGGGCAAGUUUCUCGAACGAAACUUUCAAGAGUGAGAGAGAGAUUCUUUAGAGUGAGAGAGUUGUGUCGUUUGGGCUAACGAACACAAAUGAUGUUUCACUGCCUCAAUUUAUAGCCUUUAGCUUCGGGAAAAAUAGCUAGCUUCGGAAAACGCAUGCAUUCGCCAGGUGUAGGUUCAUGUUUGGCAAAACAAGCCAUCUCUCGCUACCGGACACGUGGCAGCCAUGGAGAAGAAACGGGAUUCUGUCUGAUUGCAUCCAUUGAAUCUUCUCCCAUAUCUUUGCAAGAUAUCUUUCAGUACUGAACAUGAAUUAGUCUUUACCCCUUCACGUUUGUACUAUCUUCAUUUGUAAUAUUCUUUUAGAUACUGGUAUUAAAUUUUAAAUUAAUGAAAUCGUGACUUUGAUGAUCUUUUAUAAAUUACGUUCAAAGUCGUUUUCACGUUUCAUCUUGAUAGUUAGAAGAACUAAUUGAAUAUUAAAAUUUGAUACAAGAUGACUACUUUUGCUGUUUGGUAGUUACUAUAUAAAUAAAAUGAAUAACUAUAAAUUUGAAUAUCAUACUCAAUCAUUUUAUAAUGCUAAAUCAAAAAAUAUACAUAUACAAAAGUAAAAAAAAAUUGUCUGCAGUUUGCUAUGGGUUAAAUCUUAUUAAUGUGUAAUUUGGACACGAAGAUUUUGUAAAUACAUUUGUAUUUUAUUCAUAUAUUUAUUUUACCUAAUAUGAUUUUAAUUAUAGUGCAUUUAAAAAAAAAUAUUAUCUAUUUAAUUAUAGUUUUUCUACAUUCCACUAUAUAUAUUCAAUAGAAAAUAUUAUCUGUAUCACAUUUUUGGAGUACAAAUUUGUGACUCAUCUAAAAUUACACAUUAAAUAAAAAAAUUUCUUCAUUAUUCUAUAGUAAAAAUAAAUCAACUCAAUCUAUUGAUAUAAUAUGAAAUCUUUAAAAAAAAAAAAAAAAAAAAAAAAAAAAAAAAACAAUUGUUCUGUGGAGUACCACGGGGUAAAUUAUAUUUAUUGUAAUAUAUAUUUAGCCAUAUACAAAUAUGUUUUUAGAACAUGAGUUUAUAAAACAAAAAUUAUAAUGGUUCAGAUAAUUUAAACCAGACAAAUUUGGUGGUAACUUAUAUUAAUGAGCAUUAAAACAAUAUAUUUAUAUGUUGUAAUAUUCAGUUAAUAUAGUGCUAUAUACACCGUGGUUAAAAUUGACGAAUAUUGGAAUACAUUAUCAUAUAAAAGUAUAAAACUGGAAAUAUAUAUACCAUAAAAAUACAUUGUUCAUGUUGGACCUCUAAGAAUUUAAACGAACUUUGUAUAGAAUUGAUUAAACUAUAACGGUUAAGAUUAUAUAUAAGAGAGAAACAUUUAAUAAUGGCCCCGUGGUGUAUCACUGGGUAAAAUCUAGUGUUAUGUAUUUUUUAAUACAUUAUUUUAACGACUUCAUCGCCGUUGCUAUGACAUGUGCGCACGGUAUGCUGAGGCAUUGGUACUCAUUGCAUGGAUAGGUCCCGUCAAAUAGUUUACCCAAGAAGCAUUCUCCAUUCUUAAUCUGGACUUGGAACUCAAAAUCGCUAAUAGGCCUCACCGCCAUCGCCAUUGCUAGUUCGAAGUUUUCGUCAACUAUAGUCCUAACGUUUGGAGCGACUAUAGAAAUAGACCGCUCGGCUCUUGAAAUCCAGAUUGCAAACCACUCCAUAACCGUCGUGCGAAUCUAUUCAAGCAUACAUAUGAGUAGAUAUUCUCUCGCCUCUCGAAGUACUUGGUUCCAUGAUUCGGCAAUGUUACUAUCCAUGAUAUUGUAUCUUUUCCCUGGGAAAUGGACUCUUGUCCAGUGUGCAAAGCCUGUAACAUAUAAUUGUUAUGUUGUUAUCACAUUUUUUUAUUGUUAUGGUAUAUUACUAUUACCAACCAUUUUUGAAACAUUUUAAGACUCACCAAUGUCAACGAGGUAGGCUGCACAUUCGGGGUUAAGUCUCUAAAUUUGGAGGAAUUGUUUGUUGAAGUCCUCAAUCACAAAAGCCCUUGCGGCUGAGGACAUCAUCCCUACUAAAUUAGACGGCUUGUAUAGGUGACGAAUAUUACGCCACAAAUGAACAGUGCAAGCGGCAUGGUGAGUUUCAGAAUACACCUACAUCGAAAUAGUAACGAACAUGUGUUAAUUAAUUAUAACAAACUGGCUAUAGACAGCUUAUACUUGUAAUUAACAUAAAUGAGAAGCAAAAAUAGAAAUACCUUACGCAGUCCGGCAUAUAUACUUGAAUUGCGAUCAGAGAUGAAGACCAGUUCCGAAGAAUCAUGAACAAAAAAGCUUAGGCGUUGGAAGAACCAUUCCCAUGCGUCAUCGUUUUCGAUGUCUACAAUUGCAAACGCGAGGGGAAAUAUCUGAAAAUUUCCGUCUUGACUACAUGUAGUAAGUAAGCAGCCACCAUAAUGUGCUUUCAUUGACGUCUCAUCAGCAACCAAAACUUUUCUCAUGAAUUGGUAACCUUUAACAGAAGCUCCAUAGGCAAUAAACUGGUAUUUGAAGCGAAUGUGACCAUCAAGAUCAUCGACAUGUUCAGUGAAACAUGUAGAACAUGGAUUGGUUUGUUCAAGGAGACCAACAUAAGCGGGGAGGAGGGCAUAGCUGCCGGCCAUUCAGCCAAGUGACAUCUCCAUUGCUACCUCCCUUACACGCCAUUCCUUCCAAUAUGAAAUGUUGAUGUGGAACUCGUCUAGAAGUAUUUUUCUUAUAGAAUUUGCGUUUGGUCCUCUUUUAACUCCAACAAAUCGGCUUUGCAUAAUCUCCCCGAUCAUUUGUGUCGUUGCUAGGCGAUGGUAACAUCUACGCUCAUCAACAGUACAUGUAUGCUUAAAGUUUGCCUGGCAGACUUGGAAAUGACCACUUGCAUCUAACUUUGCUGCAUAAACACGCCAUGGACACGUUCCCCCAAUGCAUUUAAGUACCAUAAACUUGGAAGUAGAACGGCUUGUGCGGAAAUGAAACUUUCUGUUGAUAGCGUGUAUGGAAAUCUUUAUUUUGCAAUCGUUUUUGGAUUUAAAAACCCGGCCAAUGAAUAUAUUGUCCACUUCAUAUCGCAUAUCAGAAAUGGCACUCGCAACACCUACAAAUAAAUUUGUUUUGUUAGUAAGGAUUUGUGUAAGGGCAAAAAGCAUACAAUGUGUAGGUUAGUGUUAAGUAAGCUUACAUUGCCCUUUGCCAUCGUUAAAAACUGGAGGUGCGUUACGGUUGAAUAGAGCCGGAUCAUUGGUCAUGUUGCUUAGCAUGCUAUGUAACGCAUCUUCUACACGUCCCCAAACCGAAACAGAAUUGACUUCCCUUUGAGCGUCCCCAACAGUUCCACUUUCAUUUGAGCUAGGUUCAGAACAUGGUAAUCUUCUAGCAUGGUGUGAUGCCACAACCGCAAUCAUGGUCCUAGCUUGGCUACAUUCAACUUGACUUGGAAUUUCUGCUUGUAUGAACAGGACAAUCUGAUGGUCGUUUUCUUCAUUGUCACUAUCGCUAUUAUGCCAUGUUGGUUCAGCUACGCCCUUUCCUUUGUCAAGGGGGUCAGCCGGGUGUCUGACUGCGUUGCUACCACCCCCACGUUCUUGAACUGUUAUACCUUUGCAGGUAGAUGAGACAGAUGCCAUAACAAUGAACUCUUCGGCACCAGCGGCCUCUUUUGGUUGCUCUAGUGGAGGCGAUGCACUCGUGUAGCUUAGUGCAAAGUCAUGCCAAUAGCUGUCAGAAUCUUCGCCAUCCGAAUCUCCAUCACCGUGAUCCGGCACAUAGUUACGCCAGUCCUUCUUCUUUUUCGGCGGAGGAACAUAUUGUGGUGAUAAUUUUCUUACAACCUUUACAAAUAGGUCAAUCCAUCUAUGUAUCGCCGAAGGCGGAGGAAAAAUUCAACAUCAUAGUCCUCCGUUAUGUAUUGUGGAUUUUUGCCUUCGUCAUGAUCAACCCAAGAUGGAUAUUUAUACGACAAUUUCACCACCGCAUUGUGAGCCCGAAUGCCUAGCCUCUCUUUAACACGCGCAACCAGAACUUUGUAUGGCAUUUUGUCACGCAGCCUCGCCAAGUUGUUCACUGGGACUGUUUCAGCUUCAAAGUUCCAAACGUUGUCAUCAACCCUAACCCACUCGCCCAAUAUGACACGAACUUGAUCUUCCCAGCCAUCUGCAAAAUAAACAUAAAAAAAGACAGGAUUAGACGGUAGAUUUUUGAUUGGAGUAACUAUCAUAUCGAUGGCAUUACGUUAGAAAACUGCAAAAACACAAAAUUGAGCGGCUUCCUUUUUAAUCUACUAAAUCAAGUCAACGUAAUAAUUUUCAGAUCUCAUGUAGGACCAAUAAAACAGCAAAUAAAUGGGAGUAAACCUAGAUCUCAAAUAGAAAACUCCCAACUUCCAUACUAUAUGGAACCCAUGUUUGGAAUAGAAAACUACUAUUAAGCUCACCUCUACUCUACGUAGCUUUUAAUGUUUCCCAGAAAUCGCUUCAAUCAUUCGCUAAUUUUUUUUUCUGGAGUUUACAGAAUGAAGAUGACGGGUGGUGUGUAUUUAAGGAGACACAUUGCCGUUUUUUACCGAUUAGGGUUAAACCUAAUUUCUAGUUUGAAAAACAUUUAUUUUCAUUGCUAUGUUAGUGAUUAGACAUACUAUAUUAUGUUACUACACCAUAGCUAACUAAAACUAACACGUUGCAAAUCUUAAGUAUCCUCACAAACCAGCGCGUCUAGGACACGUAACCCCAGAACCGUAAAAUCACAAUGGGCCUGUGUUACUUUCUUAAUUUCUGAGGUUAAUGAGCUAUAUUCUUCAUUCUCUUUUUUAAAAGGAAUAUUGAGCUAAUUCGCCCUUAUAUUUUUUUGUAUUAAUUUAUUUUUUAUAUCUUGGUUGGUUGAAUCAUCCUUAUGGAUUAAAAAUCUUAUACUCCGACGUCGAAACCACUAAACAAAGUUUUAAACCUACGUGAAUAAAAGUAUAUUUUAUUAUAUAAACUUUGGUUUUCAAAGUUAGACAUUAACAAGGGACCAAAUUUGUGUGUGCCCUUUAACCAAAGUUUUUAUACAAAUAUACCCUUCAAUGUUUUCAGGGUAAAUCAUAUGUGCCAGCCACUAUAAAUAUUUUUUAACCACCAUUUGACAAAGUCAAAUUGAGUUUACACUUAGUAGCCAUAAGAUCUUUUUUGGACCAAAAUAUCCAUAUAACAAACAAGAUUAACUUUGGUAAUUAGUUACAAUGUAACAAUAGAAAACUCAGAAUAAAAAGAUUAGACUAUUUGAGUUCAUUAUUAUUUUUCCCCAAUAUUUGUUUUUACAUUUUUUCUCCUUUUCAUUUGAUAAUUUUUUAUUAUUUUCGUACGUUUUAUUAAAAUUUAUUUGUUUGUAUCUUGUAAAAUUCAUUUUGGUAUAAACACCAGGAUCUCCUCGUAUAUUAAUACUCCGGGAUUAUGAAGUUAUUCGUAGUUCCAGAAUCCAACAACACGUGGGACGAUGAUACAAGAUUGGAAUCACUCCAACUUUAAAUCAUUUGAUGAUCAAGAGAUUCCAAGCUUAGCUCGCUGAAGGUGGAAUUCACGAGUUAGCUCUGAAGGACUCUCUCGUGAAUCAAGGGCUGAUACAAAGGAUAGUUCAGGUGAUUGACUCGCUUAAUAGGUGGGAUAAUCUCGAUCAAUGAACGAAUAAAGGAUGUUGAAUCCGCAGAUUCCACUAGGCUUAAGAGCCUAACUCACUUAAGACUAAUCAAUAACAAUGAGAAAGACUUGAACUUUGACAAGAAGAACUUUGCUAUUACUUAAAAAAUGAUCAAGGGUGUUUUUACAAUGAAAAAGCUAAUGAGCUUAUAUAGGCUCAGCUACACGUCCUAAUAAUUUAAAAUAAAAAACAAAUCGCAUAAAAUUAGAUACACUAGCCGUUGGGACUUUAUGAACCAAAUCGGCAUAAUAAGGCAAGUAUAGAGAUGCCUUGAGUCUUGAAAACUUGGGUGCGAAUCCAUGACUCACUUGGGUUGUCUAGGUUCAUAUUGUCAAGCUGCAACACGUGCAUAAGUGAAUAAGGAAGGAGUCUUUGCAGCUUGACCUCUUUUGGCUCAAUGUAUGGUAAGUAGCGAGUCAUUGAUUUCCUGUGUGGUAAGGUGUACCGAAGAUUGUAUGGGACAAGUCUUUUGUGGCCUAAAAAUUCUCCUGGUAUCCAUAUGCAGCUUUGGAACACUUUCACAUGAAGGUAAAGGAGAGUUUCCUUAUCUCUCUCCAAAUAGAUCAACGACCUUGAUUCAAAGGGUGAUUUGAGCUUGGGUCUUGUGGUUGUUCUCCAUGGGCUGGGGCCUUGUGGUGAAUCAAAUAAGUGUGUGGAAUCCCUUCAUGGCUGAUCCAAGUGUUAAAAGACUUAAAAUCCUCACAACUUACAAAUUGGUGUGGUUUAACAAAUUUGUCAGCGACUAGUUCAGCAUGGUUCUCAGCGAGUAUUUCCGCAUGUCUGUGAACAAGUAGUUCAAAAUAUACAUCAGCUAUCAUCUUCUAAUUAGAUGGAUGGUAAAUGAUUCUUUGAUGACUUGGUGUUACCUCAUUAAAACCUUUAUAGGUAAACCCUUUGAGAAAAACCAUAGACAAUGCAAAAAGAGUGCAACAGUCAUACCCCAAUAAUAAGGUAAGUUGACUUGCUGACUUUUGAUCCUUCUUGAACUAUUGGACUUCUUAAAGUUAAUAUGCUCGUGGACAAUUAAACCUUCAUCUUGUGCUUGUUCAGGGUUCCAUUUAGGAUAAGGUUCUUAAAAUUCUCCUUGUAGACCGAUUUGUUGUCAAGACCAAUUGGUUUGGUGUGUUUCUGGUUUGAUCUAGUUCUGAUGUUCGCAUCAUACCCUCUUCGUUGAAAAAGUUUCGAUUCGACCUUGAAAACGUUUCAACCUUGAAACUGUACAACCUGCACCAAGAGAAAGCAAGUUAGCUUUCAUGCGAUUUUGGGAGUUUAAUGUCUGACCUUGGUAUUGUUGUCUCUUCAUGAUGCAUAAUGCAUUUGGUGGCUCUCCUUUGAGCAAGAAAGAUAAGAUCACUCGUUGGUUUUCAUCUAGUACAACAUUUGAUGGUGUAACGUGUUUAGCUCCAUCUCGGGUAUGUGCUUGUGCUUUGAAAUCUGGUGGUUCCUCUUUCAUUAGGGUAUAAAUUGGGAGUCUCCUAGUCUCCAUUAGGGAUAGUGGUCAAAAUGGCGCUCGGUUUAUUCCAGUUUUAUUUUGAUUCAAGCGUUUCUUCAUCCUGGGUAAUUCGACUUUAUGAUCCUCAUUCGCACCUACAAUGUUGGUGACACUUUUGGAAAAAAAAAAGUGCAUUAAUACAGUCAUGGGACCAAUAUAAACAUGUAUAAAUAUGAUGGGCUGAACCAUUUCCUUUUCAUGAAGUGUAUCAAUAAGUAUGUCACAAAGUGAAUCAACUAAUCGAUAUGAUUUAAAACAAGAAAUUGGUUCCAUAGGUUUUUUUAAAGAACAUAAGUUUUUGUCACAUUAUGUAGAGCUUAAUAUGUUUAUAAACACAUCAUUCAAAUUAUUAGAAAUAAAUCGAAAGAAUGAGUUACUUGCUUGACAUGGUUCUUUGGUGAGUGUAUCAUUCAAAAUCAACAAGGUUGAUUGAUUUGAUGACUGGUCCGGUGGUUCUUCUUGCAGUAGAAUGUGUUGGUGCUAACUUCAUCAUCUUUAGUAGCAUGUAAACACAUCUUAAGCUAUUAAUCUGGGUGCAUGUUAUCACUCUUUGCUAGUUUCUCUGUUUUCUCUACAUUCAAUAUUCUUUGGGAUGUAGUCUCUCGCUCAUCACGAUAUUCUUCUAUCGUACUUGUAUCUUUCUCGCCACUUAAGACUAAAAUCAAGUGCAUUAUACUUACAAUAUAAUCAUUGAAAACAAAAUGUUUGAAGUUACGAUUAAUUAUUAAAUUAUUCCAAUAUCUAACAAAGUUGUAGGUUUCACUUACUAGGAUACCAUGUAAGGUGUUUGGCCUUAACUCAACCUUAAUGAAAGUGAUAUUAGAAGCAAGAUCGGAUGAUGUUGAACAUAGUUGUGCCUUCACACGUGCUUUAAAGGUUGCAUGCUCACACGUCUUGUUUCGGUAAAGUUGUGAUGAUGUUAUUUCCGAAAGUUGCUCCUCAAGACUUAUGUCAUUUUCAACUUCCUUUGGAGUUGCUACAUGGUGGAUUAAUACUUCAGCAUUUUCAUCCAUCAUAUGACUUAUACCUGCAUCGGUAACCUUUGGUUAAAACAAGCACAUUAAUCUAGAAUUGGAAAUCUCUAAACUUGAUCCCAUUAGACAAUCAUUUGAGUUAGAUGCAUUAAAUUUCAACUCUAUUAAUGUGUUAUCAUCUACUUUUCUUUCACGACAGGUUGCAGCAAAGUGACCUCUCUUAUGGCAUCUAUAACAUGUCUGUGCAUUUGAUUUUAAGGAGUUAAAAGGCUUACCUUGCUCGUGUUUAUCUUGCGGCUUAAGUAAAGGUAUGGGGUUUGAUUCUUCUUUUUCACUUGUUCCUUUCUCAUUCUCCUUGGAUUAAAACAAUACCUUUGCAUGUGAUAUAUCCACGUUUUGAUUGGAACUAACACGUUGAAGUGUUGUGUUCUCUUGACUCGUUUUCUUUGAGGGAUAAGUAUUUUGACAGGGCUGGGAUAGCAUAUGAGGUGCAUAUAUCUCCCUCAUAAGCAACUUUAUUUGCCCCCAUGUUAUAAGUGAUGGCUCCUUGUACCAUACUCUAUCUCUUUCCUCUCGGUUCCACUAACGUUUUGCGCUUCCCAUGAGUUGUUCAAGACAGUAGUUGAGCCUCUCUUCUUUGGGAAUCUAAUAGUACCUAAAGUAUUUGUCCAUGUUGAUUUCCCAUUAUAGAUAAUCUCUUUCAUGUCCUCCAAAUUCAAAACAUCCAGGUCCAAAAUACUCAUAACCAUUGUCUAGAGAUAACCUGAAUUUUUUCUUCUGGGUUCGGGUGGGGUUGGAUAGAAACGAGUCUCUUCUAGCACCAUGUUUUAGUUCGCCUCCUCUUAGUUUACUGGUCCUUGUGAUGCGGACAUCAGAACUAGAUCAGACCAAGAGCAUACCAAACCGGUCUACAUGGAUUAUUUUGGAGAUUCUUUGUCUAAGUGGAGUUCUGAUCAAGUACAAUGUGAAGGGUUAAUUAUUCACCAUGAUAUUAAACCUAAGAAGUCUGACAGUUCAAGAGGGAUAAAAAAUCAGCAAGUCAAAUCACCUUAUUAUCGGGAUAUGACUGUUGCACUCUUUUUCCCUUAUCUAGGGUUUGUCCCAAUGGGUUUACCUAGAAAGGUUUUUAAUGAGGCAACACCAAGUCAUCAAGGAAUCAUUCACCAUCCAUAUGAUUCAAAGAUGAUAGCUGAUGUAUAUUCUGAUAUACUCGCGGACAAGCAUGCUGAACUACUCGCUGACCGACUGCCUGAACUACUCGCUGACCGACUACAUGAACUACAUCAGAUUGUGAGCUGUGAGGAUUUGAAGUCUUUUAACACUUGGAUCAGCUAUGAAGGGAGUCCACAUACUCAUUUGAAUCACUACAAGGCCCCAGCCUAUGUAGAACAGCCCAAGAGAAGACCCAAGUCCAAACCACCAUUUGAAUCAAGGCCAUUGAUCUACUUGGAGCAUGAUAAGAAAACUCUCAUAACCUUCAUGAGGACAUGUUCCAAAGCUGCAUAUGGAAACUAGGAGAACUUUUAGGCCACACAAGACUUGUCCCACACGAUCUUUGGUACACCUUACCACACAAGAAGCCAAUGAGUCACAACUUGCCAUAUAUGGAGCAAGAGGAGAUCAAGCUUCAAAGACUCCUUCAUUAUUCACUUAUGCAUGUCUUGAAGCUUCUUACAAUGAACCUAGAUACUCCAAAGAGUCAUGGAUUCGCACCUAAGCUUUCAAGACUCAAGGCAUCUCUCUACUUGCCUUAUUUUGUCGAUUUGGUGCAUAAAGUCCCAACGGCAAGUGUAUUUAAUUUUGUGAUAUUUGUUUCUUGUUUUACAUUAUUAGCACGUGUAGCUGAGCCUAUAUAAGCUCAUUAGUUUUUUCAUUUGUAAUCACCCUUGAUCAAUUUAAAGUAAUAGAAAGUUUUCUUCUUGUCAAAGUUUGAGUCUUUGUCAAUCUUGUUCUUUAGUUCUAUGUGAGUGAGUCACUUAGUGCUUUAGAAACCUGCGUAUUAAGUUUUUUGAGUGAUUCAACAUCCUUUAUUCUUCCAUUGAUCGAGUGAGUCGAUUAUCCCACCGAUUGAGCGAGUCAAUCACCUAAACUAUCCCCUGAACCACCCACUGAUUCACGAGAAAGUGCUUCUGGCCAACUCGUGAAUUCCACCUUCCGCAAGCUAAGCUUGGAGUCUCUUGAUCAUCAAGUGACAUAAAGUUUUGAGGAGAUCAUGUCUACCACUCGGAUGUGGUUCAAGUCGCAUUGAUGAUCCUUAAAUCACUUCUUUAUACUACAUGUGGGUUUGUGCAGAAGUACGUAUCUCUUGAUUUUUCUUGACAUGAGGCUGUACGCACUCGAUGUAACAAGAUGUGAUGGUCGGUCUUCUCUUCACGCCUUGGACAGUGUCGAUAAUGGUAGUGUUUCAAUGUUUUUGUUCUAUACUCCAUGUCUUUGCCCCACUUAAAGUAAUCAUCUUUUCCUGAAAAAUAUAUAAUUUGGGUCAAUAAAGAUUUCAAACCAUAGCUGCAAAAAUCAUCAUUAAGUUUAAUCCAUGGUUAAGAAUAGCCUUUAUUGGUGUUGUAUGAGUUAGACGGUUAUGGUUUUGGUGCUUCAUGUCCUGGUUCUGGUGCUUUAUGGCAUGGUUUAUCUCUUUAAUUAGAACCUGAACUAUCAUCUUGUUGCGACGAGACCGUUCCAUAGUUGUCUUGCUCAUCGGACAUGACUUGAUAGGGAUCUUCUCCUUGAAUUUCUUCAUCUAAAUAACACUCAAUAGACUCCAUAAUUUCUCAUGUCUUCGUGAUAGAAAAAUCUUGCACAAGCAAAAUAAAGAUGUAUCAAAAGUAAAUCAACAAAUAAGUAAUAUACUUAAGUAAAAAAAAAAUGGAAGUUCUUUUUUUUUUUUUAAAUAAAUCCAAAAAUUCAAAUAGCAAAAGGAAAAAUUCAGUUUUUAAUUUAUUUUCUCGCUUUAUAUAAAGAAAAAUCGAAAAUUUAUUUAGAAGAACAAAAAUAUGUUUUCUUAUGGCUUUUUCUUUUAAUAAAUCCAAAAUAAAUAAGAAAAUGAAAUAGAUCAAACUUUUUUUUUUAUUAUAAAAUAAUGAAGCAAAUAACAAAAAAAAAGCAAGAAAUGUUGUAAACUAAAGAGAAGAGAGGUGAAUUCGUGAUACCUUUACUCAUUAGCAUAGAGUCCUUAAUAUAAGGACUAGAAGAAAAUCCGGGCUACGCCCGAUACGUAUUUGAUCAUUUAGUUUUAGCUUUUUAUAUGUUUUUUUUUAAAUGAUAGAUGAAUAUUGGCGAAUGAAGAUACACUUUCAAUCGUUGGAAGUAGAAGGACACGAAGUGGAGAAACCUCCACUAUGAUAGAUUUGCUAGAACUCUAAGAAUGUACAUAGAAGGUUUUGGCUUUACCGAAUGUGUUUGCAGGCGAGAAAGUCAUUACUCGGUAAAAAUAUAGAGUCUACUGUAGUAAUUGCGCUUGCGUCUUCAUUAAAAAUGGCAUCUUUUACCUCUAGCACGAGCACUCCACCAGCAUCAUCAUAGUCAAGUAAAAUAUUGCUUUAACAGAAAGUAAUAUUAUGAUUCUCAUUAAGAUCAAAAUUGUACAAUUUUUUCAAAUCACUUGGAAUUCCACUUUGAAUACGCCCCCUAAAUAACUUUAGAAUCUUUUAACACUGAAUAUGGUAAUAAACGCAAACAGUUUGAUAACUUGGUAUAAAACAAAUAAAAAAAAAAAUAGAUGAACAAAGAGACUGGUUUUCGAAUAUUCAUUUUUUGAUAACAUAUAGAACAUAAAGAGAAGUCCUUACCACCAGUCGUUCGUUGCCUAUAGUGUGGUAAAGCCAAAUUUCACAGCUAAGUCUGGAAAGGAAAAAUAUUUAUGAAACAGUUAAGAGUGCAUAAAAUUUUCAAUCUUUGAAUCCCGCAGAUUAACUUAUGGGUGAUUUGAUUGCAGACUUUGUAGUGACGACGAUGGUGAACGUAGCAGAGAGGUAGAAAUAUUUGGAGAUGAACGUAGUUAAGAGAACUUGAGGAAGUGAAAGGAAGUUGAGUAGGUUCAUCUUUCACUGUAAGAGGAGUUGCAACUCAAUAGUAGAAAAAAAAUCAUAUAUACAUUAAAGAAAAACUCAAUCUUUCUAAGAAGUGAAAACCCUUAACCUUGUAUUAUCAACAACCAAUCAGACUCAAUUGACAGAGCUGUGUGAUGGGAAGGUAGUGGUAACUACAUUUGUAGUAGCAGAAUUGCAGAUCUCGAUUUCAGAAGAAAUUGUAGCAGAGUAUCAAAAGGAGAGCUUAAGAGGAAAAAUCUAAGGUGUGAAUCAUGGGAUCUAAUUCUCAAGGGUAGAUGGAGAGAGAACUGUAGAGGAAGAUAGAGACGUAUAUAACUUUAAAAGAGAGAUUUUUUAUGGAAGAAAGAGUUAAUCAUGGUGUUGGUGUAACUGAUGAACAUGGCGAGUCUCUCCGUUGACUAAGAAGUGUGAAUAUUAAAACGUCAUUUUUGGAAGAAAUGGGACUAAACUUUUUCUUAUGCCAUGUGGCAUCCUCUAAAAUGAUUUAGGAAAGCGGAUGUGGCUUGCUUUAGGAGCCUCAAAUAACCCCUUUAUUAGUAAGUAAUUGAUACAAGGGAGGAAAGUAAAACCUAAAACAAAUAGGAAAAGAUUAAACCUGCUCAAUAUUGGACGGACCGGGCUUGAAUAUGGGCCGAGCCGGACUGGGCUUGUUAUGAAAAUCCACCAUAUGAUUUAUAACACUCCCCUUUGGAUGUAAUAACCGUUAGAGCUUCUAAUAUGCUUUGGAUGUUGCCUCAUUAAAACCUUACCAGGAAAACCCGAUGGGAUAAAACCGUGGUGAAGGAAAAAGAGUACAACACGUCUUACUCCCCCUGAUUUGAAUCUCACUUAAGAUCUUUCAACCGGCGCAUUCCAAUUUGACGUGUAAUUUUCUUGAAAGUAAAGGUUGGAAGCGACUUGGUGAAUAGAUCUGCCACAUUGUCACAUUAUUUGAUGCGGACAUCAGAACUAGAUCAAACCGGGAGCACACCAAACCGGUUUACAUGGAGAAUUUUGGAGAAUCUUUGCCUAAAUGGAGUUCUGAUCAAGUACAAGACGAAGGGUUAAUUAUUCACCAUGAUAUUAACCCUAAGAAGUCGGACAGUUCAAGAGGGAUCAAAAAUCAGCAAGUCAAAUCACCUUAUUAUUGGGAUAUGACUGUUGCACUCUUUUUCCCUUAUCUAGGGUUUGUCCCAAUGGGUUUACCUACAAAGGUUUUUAAUGAGGCAACAUCAAGUCAUCAAGGAAUCAUUCACCAUCCAUAUGAUUCAAAGAUGAUAGCUGAUGUACAUUCUGAUCUACUCGCGGACAAGCAUGCUGAACUACUCGCUGGCAAGCAUGCUGAAUUACUCGCUAACCGACUGCCUGAACUACUCGCUAACCGACUGCCUGAACUACAUCAGAUUGCGAGCUGUGAGGAUUUGAAGUCUUUUAACACUUGGAUCAGCCAUGAAGGUAGCCCACACAGUCAUUUGAUUCACUGCAAGGCCCUAGCCCAUGGAGAACAUCCCAAGAGAAGACCCAAGUCCAAACAAUUCUUUGAAUCAAGGUCGUUGAUCUACUUAGAGCGAUAUAAGGAAACUCUCCUUUACUUUCAUGAAGACGUGUUCCAAAGCUGAAUAUGGAAACUAAGAGAACUUGUAGGCCACACAAGACUUGUCCCACACGAUCUUUGGUACACCUUACCACACAAGAAGUCGAUGAGUCACUACUUGCCAUACAUGGGGCAAAAGGAGAUCAAGCUCCAAAGACUCCUUCCUUAUUCACUUAUGCACGUCUUGAAGCUUCCUACAAUGAACCUAGACACCCCAAGGAGUCAUGGAUUCACACCCAAGCUUUCAAGACUCAAGGCAUAUCUCUACUUGCCUUAUUUUGCCGAUUUGGUUCAUAACGUCCCAACGGCAAGUGUAAUUAAUUUUGAGCGAUUUGUUUCUUGUUUUACAUUAUUAGGACGUGUAGCUGAGCCUAUAUAAGCUCAUUAGAUUGUUCAUUUGUAAUUACCCUUGAUCAAUUUAAAGUAAAAGAAAGUUUUAUUCUUGUCAAAGUUUGAGUCUUUGUCAUUGUUCUUCAUUAAUCUUAAGUGAGCGAGUCUCUUAAGUCUAUUGGAACCUGCGGAUUAAGUUUGUUGAGUGAUUCAACAUCCUUUAUUUGUCCAUUGAUCGAGUGAGUCGAUUAUCCCACCGAUUGAGCGUAUCAAUCACCGGAACUAUCCCCUGAACCACCCGCUGAUUCACGAGAGAGUGCUUCUGGCCAGCUCGUGAAUUCCACCUUGCGCAAGCUAAGUUUGGAAUCACUUGGUCAUCAAGUGAUCUAAAGUUUGGAGUGAUUCCAAUCUUGCAUCAUGAUUGAACUUGUUCCACUUGGAACUCUUCGGCUUUAAGUUGCGUUGUCUUCAAAUAUGAUGGUCUUUGAUUUAGUAGUAGAUGCGCCUUAAAGAAGGCUGCCUACGUACCCUUGGAAGGGAUCAAACCACAAGUAGUUCCUAUUCAUUGACCAUGCCAUGAUCUGAUCUUAUGAAUAACCUGCAUCAGUCAAUCAAACUAAACCAAAGCAAACUGGACCUACUUUGGUUAGAUCAGUAUAGAGUAAAACCCAAGUAAACAACGCAGGAAGAAUAGACUUUAUAACUUUACCAAACCUUCUUUUAAACCUUUCCAGUGCCUUUGGGUUGAUCAUGAACUAGAUUUAGACAGGAGACUCACGGUAAAACAAAUGUUUGGUCUAGUGUGUCUAGCCAAAUUCUUUAGAACUCCUAUGGCAUUGAGAUAUGGCAUUUACGGACUGAAUGGAUCACUAUCCAAUAUGAGGCUUCUCACCCACCAUUGGGCCUGGUCAAUGGGCGGGCCCGGUUCUUAUUAAAUCUCCAUGAGUAUUCUUUCAGUAUAUGCCAUUUGAUGCAAAAGGAUUCCAUUAUUCACGUACUCAAGUAGUAAUCCGUAACAGAACUUAAUUAUUGCCUAGGUCUUUCAUUUCAUAAUCUUUGUUUAGAUAUAUUCAACUGUUUGGUCGAUUACCUAGAGGUUUAAAUCAUUCAUAUACACUGCUAUGAUUACAAAUCUUUUGUUUGCAAACCUGUUUAUGAAUGUACAUGGACUGAUGUGAUUAUUUAUAACCUUACAUACGCCCACUUAGUCUAAGUCCAUGAAAGGAUUUGUCCAGCCUUAUGCACUGCUGUUAUCGAGAACCUUUCUUAUCUUUGAGCUCAAUACCCUCUGGUAAUUUCAUAUAUUAUCCAGUGGACUUAUAUAAAUAUGCAGGCAUUACAUCCAUUAGCCGCAAAUCGAUUUUUUCUCUUUUAUAUAGCCAGACUUAGCAAAAAUUUAAAUGUCUUAGCAUCCACCACAGGGGAGUAUAUCUCCUCAUAAGCCGUGCUUUAUAUCUCUAAAUUUUUCCAUGUUCAUUUUUUUCACAAAGACCUAUUUAUGUCCAACUGGUUUAAUAUCAAGAGGUGUCCGGAUUAUUGGACUAAAUACAUUCCUCUUCUUUAAUGAAUUCAACUCCACAUUUAUAGCUUCUUUCCAUUUAAUCCAAUCUGAUCGUCGAGUGCACUCUAAUAUGGACGUGGGUUUUAGAUCCUCGCUUAUUUCAUUAAUUUUUAGUGCUACCUUGCAUGCAAUAUAUUAUCAAUGUCGACAUUCUUUCGGUUCCAUUUUAUCCUGGACAUAACAUAAUUGAUCGUGAUCUCAUUAUUAUCAAGAACUUCAUCAGUACCUUGAAACUUGGCGUCCCAAGCCUCAUUGUUAGGUAUCUGAGGUUCGGUUAUGCCUCGGGUAACCACAGUUUUCUCAACCUCGGAUUCAUUCUUAGCACCUCUUUAUUUUUCGAGGGUUCUUAUCUUUGGAACCUAUUGGUCUACCACGUUUCAUACGUGCCUUAGACUCUGUAGCAACUUGAUUGUGUCCUUCCUAAACAUCAAUAUGUAUUGGUGCAUUUAUAAAUAGUAUAUGUGACUUAAUCACUCUAUUCGGGUCAGCAAAGAAAUCUGGCAAUUGAUUAGCUAGCUUUUGUAUUAGCUUUUGGACUUCUAAUUCAAAUUUCAUAGUCCAUAAUAAGGAUGAUUGAUUCUAUGUAAUUUCCUUUACCAGCUUAUUAUUAUCUCCCCUUAAUGGUGGGUUAUUGGUUUCAUCAAAAUGACAAUACUCGUACUUGGCCUUGAAUAAAUCAACCGUGGUCGGCUCAAGCUACUUAUUUAUUAUGGAAUAUUCAUAUCCAAUAUAUAUCCCCAUCCUCUUUUGAGUAUCCAUCUUAGUUCUUUGUGGUGGAGCUCAAUUGGUAUAUAUACGGCACAUCCAAAUGUCUUAAAAUGGAAAAUGUCUGGGUCAUGACCCUUAAGUAAUUGUUUUGGGGAAUAUUUAUUUUCAUUAGAUGACCUGAUGCGAAUAAAUUCAGCUGCAUGUAAGACAACAUGUCCCCAAGCUGAGAUUGGGAGUUUUGAUCUCAGAAACAAUGGUCUAGCAAUUAGCUGUAUGCGUUUUAUAAAUGAUUCAGGCAGACCGUUUUGUGUAUGUACAUGUGCCACAAAAUGUUCUACACUUACCCCCAUGGACAUACAAUAAGCAUUAGAAACUUAGGACGUAAGUUCACCAACAUUAUCUAGACGUAUAGUCUUUAAUCACUUUGACUGGUGAUGGCCUUUUCAUGAGUUUCCCUUGUGAACAUGCUACACAAGUGAGAUUCUUUGGGAUAACUCUACUUUCUUUCAAUGUGUGUCCAUUUGUAUUUAAUAUCAAUUUUCGCAUUACACUCGAUCCGGGAUGGCCAAGCCGAUCGUGCCAAAGAGUGAAUCUCUCGGUAAUCUCUUUGUUUCCCGUGGCAUUAGCUUCUAUCAUAUUAGCCUUAGCACAGUAAAUGCCUUUAAUACUUUCUUAUGACCUUUUAUAUUUUCUUAUGACUUUUAAUACUUUCUCAUGGCCUUUAAUACUUUCUUAUGACCAUUUAUACUUUUUUAUGAUCUUGGCCGUUUUCAAAUAUUAUUAGGAACUCUUUAUUUCUUUCGCCCUUAGUUUCAAAAAUAAUAAUCAUAUAUUCAAUAUUUAAAUAAAAGAUCCUCUAAUUUAUUAAGUUCAAAACAAUAUCAAAAAAAUUCAAAGCAAUAAUAGAGAAUAAAUUCAAAGCAAUAAAACUUUAAAAGCAAUCAUGAAGGCAAUCAUAAAAACAAUCAUGAGAAUCUUGAUGUCGAAAUUAUAUUGGUUAUUCUAAGCAAUCGGGAGUCUCAUAUGCCAUAAGAUCAUUUUUGUCAUGAUCAAAAUCAUCUUUAUUAUCAUAGUGGAUGAUAAGUCUGUAUUUCAUUGCUUUUUGAGUAUGCAUUCAUCAUCUAUUCAGCAUCAUUCACUUGUUGAUUCGCAUCAUAUUGAUCCCUUUCUGCAUGUUUUACAUACUUAGGUAGGUUUUAUGCAUAUCAUGCAUAUCAUGCAUAUCUUGCAUACAUUGUCCAUAUUUGGAGUGUUUCAGGUACUUAGGAGACAUGCAGGGCGAAGCAGAGGAACAAGCGUUACUCGACAUGCACACGAUCGAGUGGGACGAUCGAGUGAGAAGCAUGGAUGCGUUGCAGUUACAUUGACGUUCGAGUGAGCAGCAGACGUAUACGAUCGAGUGGCAGAUCGAGCAGAAGGGAAGCGAAGCAGAACUACCUGUCACUCGAUGCACUCACUCGAGUGACAUGAUCGAGCAAAGCAAAGAAGUAGCUGAUGGUUUUACAGGUCACUCGACCCACUCACUCGAGUGACACGAUCGAGAAAGCAGAGAAGAUGGUCACUCGAGGUGCUCACUCGACCAACUUAGUCAAAACAACCUUUGAACCGCUUUUACGUUGUCGUUUUAUGUUUUAAGGUUUUCCCAAACAUUGUUAUAAAUAGGCUUCAUUUGGAUUGCCCAAGGGAUAUCGAGUUUUUUAUUAGGUUUUUGUUGUUAGCCACCAAACAAUCCAGAAAAUUGUAAUUCAUAUUUCUUUUGAGUUAUUGAGAUUUUGCAACUAGUUCUGAAAUCAUUGUUGUUACUCUUCCUAUCAUCCUUAUUAUUAUGCAUGUUUUGAACGAUUCUUGUUUCAUGAUGUUUAACAUGAUUUCUGCGUCUGAGUAGUGUUAGGGUUCUUGAGGAUGGGAUAGAUUAGGUGGAGGAUGUUAGUUUGCUAGAGUGUUUAUGUUAGAUUCGUUUGUUUCCCUUCUGGACUAGAGUUUUAUUAGCUAGUUCUUCUCUGAUCAAUUGGAACUGGGUCAUGGACAUUUCAUACCCGAAAGGUAUAUGAUGAAAUGUCUGAACCAACUAGUGCCAGAGAUUUACAUGCUUAGCCCAAGAGAUUGGUUGUCUAAGAUGUUUAUUGACAUUAAUGAGCUGUUUCUUUAUGCCUGUUUACUGCAUGUUUCAUCAAUGAGAAUUGAGAUUAGGAAGUGUUGUAAACUUGAUAGUUUCUGCCAAGAGAUUGGAUUGACUAGUAUUAGAAGUUCAUUGUCUAGGGAUUAGAAUGUUUGCAGUUUGAUAAACACUCGAAGUAGAUUAGCAUACUCCACCUACAUCAAUAACCUCAUCCUCGGGAUCUUCUAUCCAUUUGUGCUUUCUGUUUAAUUCUCUUGUUAUUUACUUAGUCUGCUUUGUUUUCUUGCCAGUAUCAAUAAUCGUUACGUUUUAGUUUAUGCAUGGUAGUCUAUGUUUUACAGCUUUACAUUUAUCGCAUGUUUAACAUGUUCGUUUAGGAUCAUUGAAAACCAAAAAUCAUUUAUGCUUUCUUGACUUAAUCAUUUCUGAUAUAUCUUGAUUGCUAGCAUCACACCUGAUUGGAUUGAUACCUAUUGUACUGCAAUGACAUGAUAGUACUCUAGGGUAAUUGAUAGAAAAAUCCUAGUAUCAAUUUGGCGCCGCUGCCAUUUGGGUGUUUGUGUGUUACAUUUGAGAUUUCAGACUUGCUAAGAUCAAGUUUUUACUCAACAUUCACUACAGUUACUCACUCUGUUCCUUCUGUUUGUCUAUUGAUUCAGGUACAACUCUUGCUCAACUGCUCCUACUCGACUGACACACUCAACCGAUAAGAAAGAUAAGCUGAUUUGAGUUGUAUGCACACACGGUCGCAAGGCACAGAGAACUUGUUCCAGCCCUCCGACCGUAUUGAUCGCUUGGUACCUGCAUCACGACAGCAACGCAACAGAGUUACACCACCCCAAGUGGAGAUGGAAAACAUUCCACCACCACAACCACCACGGGCACCUACACGGAUUGGAGCUGGUGAUGCUCCACGCAACCAUACCCAUCGUCAGGGUAUAGUGCCUCCAGCCGUGGCGAACAACAACUUUGAGAUCAAGAGUGGUCUGAUCUCCAUGGUCCAGCAGAAUAAAUUUCAUGGUCUGCCUAUGGAAGACCCCCUGGAUCACCUUGAUGAGUUUGAUCGUCUCUGCAGUCUCACCAAGAUCAAUGGGGUCAGUGAGGACGGUUUCAAGCUACGUCUCUUUCCAUUCUCUUUGGGUGACAAAGCUCAUCAAUGGGAGAAAACUCUUCCUCCAGGAUCUAUCACUUCCUGGGAUCAAUGCAAGCAGUCGUUUCUUGCCAAGUUUUUCUCCAACUCUAGAACUGCACGUCUGCGCAAUGAGAUCUCUGGGUUCACUCAGAAGAAUGGUGAAACGCUUUGUGAAGCCUGGGAACGCUUCAAAAGUUAUCAGUCUCAGUGUCCCCACCAUGGUUUCACCAAGGAGUCUCUCCUCAGUACUCUUUACCGGGGUGUUCUCCCAAAGAUCCGGAUGUUGCUUGACACUGCCAGCAAUGGCAACUUUCUGAACAAGGACGUUGACGAAGGUUGGGAGCUUGUUGAAAACCUAUCCCAAUCUGAUGGCAACUACAAUGACGAUUAUGAUAGAACCAUCAGGGCAAGCACAGAUCUUGAUGAGAAGUACAAGAAGGAGAUGAAGGUUGUGAAUGACAAGUUGGACAAGCUAUUGAUGAGCCAGCAGAGGAACAUCCAUUACGUCUCUGAAGACGACCCUUUCCAGACUCUGAAUGGGGAGGGAGAACAAUCUGAGGAGAUAAGCUAUGUCCAGAACCAAGGUGGAUACAAUAAGGGAUACAAUCCUUAUAAGCAGAAUCCAAAUCUGUCCUAUCGGAGCACCAAUGUUGCAAACCCCCAGGAUCAGGUUUAUCCACCUCCACAACAGCAGCAGCAGGGGCAGAACAAACCAUUUGUGCCCUACAACCAAGGUUAUGUGCCCAAACAACAAUUUCAGCAAGGUUACCAACCUCCAGCAGGACCACCACCAGGAUUCCAACCUCAACAUGCUCCGCCUCCUCAGGCACCAGAUCAAGACAUGAAAAACAUGCUUCAGCAACUCCUACAGGGACAAGCAAGUGGCUCCAUGGACAAUGCUAAGAAGUUUGCUGAGCUGACUCAGAGAUUGGACUGCUCAUACAAUGAUCUGAACAUGAAGAUUGAGACUCUGAAUUCCAAGAUCAAGUAUAUGGAGGGUAAAACUGCUUCUACUUCUGCCCCAAAGCCGGGUCAACUCCCAGGAAAAGCUGUUCAGAAUCCUAAGGAGUUUGCUCAUGCCAUCACGCUGAGGAGCGGUAAAAACUUGCCUCCCAGACAAGGACCUGUUGUAGUCACUGAGGACAGUGAAGACUUGGAAGGGGAGGAUGUAUGUCAGAAUGAAGAUCCGGUUGUUCCUUUGGAAGAAUCAGGAGUCGUACCUGAAGAAGUUCCUCAACCUGCUGAGAAACAUGCUGAAACACCUGCAGCAUCCAAGGAUAAGCCUGCGCGAUACGUUCCCCCACCAUACAAACCACCUCUACCAUUUCCAGGACGAUUCAAAAAGCAGCAAGCUGAGAAGUAUAAGGCUUUAUUUGAAAAGCAAUUGAGAGAGAUUGAGUUGAGAAUGCCAUUGCUGGAUGCAUUCGCACUUGUCCCUCCUUAUCAGAAGUUCCUCAAAGAUUUGGUUAUGGAGAGAACAAAAGAAGUCCAGGGAAUGGUGAUAUUGAGUCAUGAAUGCAGUGCCAUUAUCCAGAAGAAGAUCACUCCCUUGAAGCUUAAAGAUCCUGGAUCUUUCACACUACCCUGCUCACUAGGCCCCCUAUCUUUCAGCAGAUGCUUAUGUGAUCUUGGAGCUNNNNNNNNNNNNNNNNNNNNNNNNNNNNNNNNNNNNNNNNNNNNNNNNNNNNNNNNNNNNNNNNNNNNNNNNNNNNNNNNNNNNNNNNNNNNNNNNNNNNNNNNNNNNNNNNNNNNNNNNNNNNNNNNNNNNNNNNNNNNNNNNNNNNNNNNNNNNNNNNNNNNNNNNNNNNNNNNNNNNNNNNNNNNNNNNNNNNNNNNNNNNNNNNNNNNNNNNNNAUUCCUAGCCACUGCUGGAGCUAUCAUUGAUGUUAAGAAGGGGAAGAUAGACUUAUGCUUGGGAGAAGACUUCAAGAUGACAUUUGACAUCAAGGAGUCUAUGAAGAAACCAACAAUCAAUGGCAAGGUGUUCUGGAUAGAGGAGAUGGAUCAGCUAGCUGAUGAACUUUUAGAAGAACUUGCUGAGGAGGAUCAUCUCAAGACAGCCUUGACAAAGAGUGGAUCAGAUGGAUUUCUUCAUGCUGAGACCAAGGUCUACGAAACGUUACUGGAUACCUACAAGGCAACUGAUGAUUCAGAACGUUUUGAGGAAUUGGAUAAGUCUGUCAAGGAGGUAUGCACAGUAGAGGAGGAAGUCAGUGGCAGCCCGAUGACUCACCAUGCUGUUGAUCCUGUCAAUGCGGUUGAUGAUGACUGGUCAGAGUUAAAAGCUCCCAAGGUUGAGCUCAAACCGCUACCCUCAGGACUGAGGUAUGUAUUCCUUGGAUCCAACUCUACUUAUCCUGUCAUUGUGAAUGCUAGCUUGAGUAAUGAGGAAUUAGAGUUGCUAGUCACUGAGCUUAGAAAAUAUAGAAGGGCCAUAGGUUAUUCCUUAGAUGAUAUCAAGGGGAUCUCACCUAGUCUCUGCAUGCAUAGGAUUAAUCUGGAAAAUGAAUCAUACUCUAGUAUUGAACCUCAAAGGAGAUUGAAUCCUAACCUUAAGGAAGUUGUGAAAAAAGAAAUUCUUAAACUGUUGAAUGCUGGGGUUAUCUAUCCUAUCUCUGAUAGUACUUGGGUAUCCCCAGUGCAUUGCGUACCUAAGAAAGGAGGGAUUACAGUGAUAAAAAAUGAAAAAGAUGAAUUGAUCCCCACUAGGACUAUCACUGGCCAUAGGAUGUGCAUUGAUUACAGAAAACUGAAUGCUGCAUCUAGGAAAGAUCAUUUCCCGCUUCCUUUCAUUGAUCAAAUGUUAGAACGAUUAGCCAAUCAUCCCUACUACUGUUUCCUUGAUGGGUAUAGCGGAUUUUUCCAAAUCCCUAUCCACCCAAAUGAUCAGGAAAAGACUACGUUCACUUGUCCAUAUGGCACAUUUGCCUACAGACGCAUGCCUUUUGGUUUGUGUAAUGCACCUGCAACAUUUCAGAGGUGUAUGACCUCUAUAUUCUCGGAUUUGAUAGAGGAGAUGGUGGAGGUGUUCAUGGAUGAUUUUUCCGUGUAUGGCUCCUCCUUCUCCUCAUGUUUGUUAAAUCUCUGCAGGGUAUUAGCAAGAUGUGAGGAGACAAGCCUGGUGCUCAACUGGGAGAAGUGUCACUUCAUGGUGAACGAAGGGAUAGUGUUGGGACACAAGGUAUCAGAGAAAGGGAUUGAGGUUGAUAAGGCAAAGAUUGAGGUCAUGGUGCAGUUGCAGCCUCCCAAGUCAGUNNNNNNNNNNNNNNNNNNNNNNNNNNNNNNNNNNNNNNNNNNNNNNNNNNNNNNNNNNNNNNNNNNNNNNNNNNNNNNNNNNNNNNNNNNNNNNNNNNNNAAGAUUCAUCAAGGACUUCUCAAAAAUUGCAAGACCCCUUACAAGACUGCUGUGCAAGGAGGUCGAGUUUGUUGUUGAUGAGAGCUGUCUGGAAGCUUUCAACAAGAUCAAGGAAGCGUUAGUCUCAGCACCAAUAGUCCAAGCUCCAGACUGGGAUCAUCCUUUUGAGAUAAUGUGUGAUGCCUCAGAUUAUGCAGUAGGGGCUGUGUUGGGACAGCGAAUAGAGAAGAAACUGCAUGUCAUCUACUAUGCGAGCAGAACCCUUGAUGAGACACAAGGGAGAUAUGCAACAACAGAGAAAGAGCUCUUGGCUGUAGUCUUUGCGUUUGAGAAAUUCAGAAGUUACUUGGUGGGAUCAAAAGUGGUAGUCUACACAGACCAUGCUGCGCUUAGACAUAUAUACUCCAAGAAGGAUACCAAACCAAGACUGCUGAGAUGGAUACUUCUACUCCAGGAGUUUGAUAUGGAGAUUGUUGACAAGAAGGGGAUAGAGAACGGCGUUGCUGAUCACCUGUCCAGAAUGAGAAUAGAAGAUCCAAUCCCUAUUGAUGACUCUAUGCCUGAAGAACAUCUCAUGGUUGUUGAGAUAUGCAAGAAGAUGCAUCAAACAGGAAUGGCUAUGAAGGAGCUUCAAUGUCUAGCAGUCAAUUCAGAGAGUAUGCCUUGGUAUGCGGAUGUGGUUAACUACAAAGUCUGUGGAGAGAUUCCUGCAGACAUGGAUCCUUAUAGGAAAAAGAAGUUUUUCAGAGAUGUCAACCACUACUUCUGGGAUGAACCUUACCUGUACAAGAGGGGUUCAGAUGGACUGUUUAGGAGAUGCAUAGCAGAAGGAGAAGUACAGGGAGUACUUGAGCACUGUCAUGGAUCCACAUAUGGAGGACACUUCGCUACAUUCAAGACAGUUCAGAAGGUUCUGCAAGCAGGCCUUUGGUGGCCAACGUUGUUCAAGGAUACAAACAGUUUCAUCACCAAGUGUGACGCCUGCCAGAGGAUGGGUAACAUCAACAGAAGGAAUGAGAUGCCUCAGAACCCGAUUUUGGAAGUAGAAAUUUUUGAUGUUUGGGGAAUUGAUUUCAUGAGACCGUUCAACCCUCCAUCAAACGGCAAUGCCUACAUUCUGGUCGCAGUUGAUUAUGUUUCAAAAUGGGUUGAAGCCAUUGCAAGUCCCACCAACGAUCAUAAGGUUGUUCUGAAACUGUUCAAGAGCAUCAUCUUUCCCAGGUAUGGAGUACCGAGAGCAGUGAUCAGUGAUGGUGGUACACACUUCAUCAACAAGGUUUUUGAAAGCAUGUUGAAGAAGUAUGGUGUGAAGCAUAAGGUGUCUACAGCCUACCAUCUCCAGACAUGUGGACAAGUUGAGGUCUCCAACAAGCAGAUAAAAGGAAUCUUGUCAAGAGUUGUUGGGGCUUCGAAGAGAGAUUGGUCUACCAAGUUGGAUGACACUCUAUGGGCGUAUAGGACAGCUUUCAAGACACCAAUAGGAAGAACGCCUUUUCAGUUGGUGUAUGGUAAAGCAUGUCAUCUCCCUGUGGAGAUUGAGUAUAAGGCGCUUUGGGCUAUCAAGCUUCUGAACUUGGACAUUGAUGCAGCGCAGGCAAAGAGAGUUCUUGACAUCCAUGAACUUGAGGAAAUCAGACUUGAUGCCUUCGAGAGUUCCAAAAUCUAUAAGGAGAGAACCAAGGCUUUUCAUGAUAAGAAGAUUGUCGUUAAGGAGCUUAAGGCUGGAGAUCACGUCUUGCUGUUCAAUUCCAGACUAAAACUGUUCCCUGGAAAGCUCAAGUCUAGAUGGUCUGGACCAUUUGAAAUCAAAGAUGUUUUGCCAUUUGGUGCGAUCACUCUUCUGAACAAAGAUGGCAGCGAGUUCACUGUGAACGGUCAACGUGUCAAGCGUUACCUAGCUGAUCAAGAGACACCAGAGGGGUCCUCCAUACCUCUCUAUGAGCCCCCCAAAGCCUAAAAGGCAUAAAAGUCAAGCUUAGUGACUUUAAACAAGCUCACUUGUGAGGAAGUCCCAAAGGUAUCCCUGUACAUAUGUUUUAGGAUUUUUUUUUGUGUUUUUGAUUUUUGUUUUUGGUUUUCUGUUGGUCAGGAUUUCAGAUAGAAGGAGUAAUGCAAAACAGAGUGAGGUGGGGAUACAGAAUCGAGUACGAUAAGUGAAAAAUAUAGAAGGGGGGAGUUAAUUAUUUGGGAGUGAUUGAGUUGAGUUUAAAAAAAAAAAAAAAAAAAAAAAAAAAAAAAAAAAAAAAAAAAAAAAAAAAAAAAAAAAAAAAAAACUCACUCGACACACCCAAACCACACAUACCUUAUCUUCACUCGACCUAAUCACUCUCUCAUCACCCUCACUCGAUUUCAUCACUCAACCAUUUUCACUCCUUUCAUCGAUUUCAUCACAUCCUUUCUCUCAUCUCUCUCUCACUCGACUAUAUCCUCUCAACCUUCACUCGAUUAAGAGCUCGCCGUGACCGACGCUUGACUCACUCGACGGAAGCUUCACCACUCGACCAACCGUCGGAGCAUCCUGUUCACUCGACCGUGUUCACUCGAGCUCGCCGAUUCUCCAUCUCUCGCCUCUUCACUCGACCGACAAGUCAAACCACCGUCCUGUUUCUCGCUUCACUCCACGGACUCCACUCGACCCACCAUCUCAUCACCACCACCACUCGAGCUCCAUCCCCAACCGACAAGUACUCGACCCACGUUGUCUUCACCGGUGCUACUCGACCGGAUAGCUUCACUCGACGGUAACGCGCUCGACUCUCACUCGUUCCGCUCCGCCACCCGACCACCGGAGAUAUCAUAAGAAGCCGUCGACGCUAUCCACGCUCCGACUCACUCGACCGAACUACUCGGGCACCUUACUCGACCGUUCAAGACACAACUGGUUCACUCGACCGGGCACUCAUUUGCUCACUCGACCGAGAGUGAUAAGCGUUUGUAUCUCCACUCAUUUCUUUUGCAUUUGCUCAUUUUUCUUAGCUUUUGGAACACUAACAAACUAAUUUUUAGUUUUGAGUUCCAAUUGUUUCAGUUUCACAAUGUCAAGAGAUUUGUUGCAUGAAAUGCGUGAGAAGUAUGGUUGUAAACCAACAGAGCGUGCAUCCCCUCAGUCUAUGUCCAAGGUUUAUAUGGAGAAGAAGAAAGCUGCAUAUGAGAGAGCGUCUGGUGUUGGUCCUUCUCAGGCAAGAAGCAGAGCUAAGUCUUCGGGUAAGAAACCAAUGGAGCUGCAGGAUGAUGAUAGUGAUUAUGAGCUUGAAGAGCAUCCACCUGUCCCAGCUCGCAAGUCAGCGCCGAAGAAGAAGGCAGAGAAGUGGUUAGCCCCAGGAGAGUAUUACAAGCUGUUUCAGCAGCAUGAGUUUCAGGGCACGAGGUAUCCUUGCCAGCAGACGAUGGAUGAGCUGGCUAUCUCGAGUGAUGUCGAGUAUAUGUUCGAGCAUUGUCAUCUCAGCACACUCAUGACUAGUCCGCGAAAUACAUACCGAGAGGAGACAAUUCAGUUCCUCUGCACGCUUGCCAUUCAUCUGUAUGAGGAUGAUCCGGACAUAGAGUCGGAUGGAGGAUUGGGAUACAUCACCUUCACCAUCCAUGAUCAUGAGUAUCUUCUGACCAUCAGAGAGCUGGAAGGUUUGUUUGGAUUCCCUAAUGGAACAGGGACUGGGCAGAGGAUUGAUAGGGAUGAAUUGUUAGCUCUUUGGGAAACAAUUGGGAAUGAUAAGAAGUUCGCUUCAUCUAGGACCAAGAGCAACCACAUCAGAAGUCCAGUUAUCCGCUACUUCCAUCGAUCAGUUGCAAACGUGUUCUUCGCGAGGGAGACAACAGGGACACUGAUCAACGGGGAGCUGGAGAUGAUUGAUCUUGCACUUAAAGAUCUCUUGUUAACAGCAGUAGAUGGGACACUACUGCGAGGUGAUACGACUGAUACAUCCCCCUCGUUCACUCUGUUGCACCAGCUACUCAGUUACAGAACUUGGGUAGUGAAGCUGAGCAGCUGCAGAACUCAGGGAGUUAUGUGUAUGGGAGGGUUGGUGACAGUCAUCUUAGAAGCUUGUAGCGUCCCGCUGAGUUCAGAGCCUAUUGCACCGAGAUUCAUCGACAUUCAGAACUUGAGGCAAGCUCAAUGGUUGCAUUGGGAGAAACGCAACGGGUUGUAUAUGUAUUACUUCACUCACCCCGUACAUGGUGACGUGCGAUUUUUGCUUCCUUGUAUCGCUUUCACUAGGAUACUCGAAGGAAGCAACAUUGAGUUUACUCCCCCUGCAGAGGCUCUCUACACGACAGAUGGUGAGGAAGCAAUGGAGGUAUCUGAGAAAGAGGAUGACGAGAUGGAAGAAGAUUCAGAUGAGUAUAGACCAGAGAGGUAUCACUUCCAGGACUACACAGCGCCUAGACAAGGCAAGAGUUUGGUGGAAGCUCACAAGCGUAUCAGUACACUUCAGAAGUGGAACAUGCUGCAAGACAAGGCAAUAAAAUCUAUGAAAUCGAAGAUGAAAAGCUUCAUGAGUAAGUUUAGCUGCGCCUCCACCACCACAGCUUUUGCAGACACUACUCCGCAGGAUGCNNNNNNNNNNNNNNNNNNNNNNNNNNNNNNNNNNNNNNNNNNNNNNNNNNNNNNNNNNNNNNNNNNNNNNNNNNNNNNNNNNNNNNNNNNNNNNNNNNNNNNNNNNNNNNNNNNNNNNNNNNNNNNNNNNNNNNNNNNNNNNNNNNNNNNNNNNNNNNNNNNNNNNNNNNNNNNNNNNNNNNNNNNNNNNNNNNNNNNNNNNNNNNNNNNNNNNNNNNNNNNNNNNNNNNNNNNNNNNNNNNNNNNNNNNNNNNNNNNNNNNNNNNNNNNNNNNNNNNNNNNNNNNNNNNNNNNNNNNNNNNNNNNNNNNNNNNNNNNNNNNNNNNNNNNNNNNNNNNNNNNNNNNNNNNNNNNNNNNNNNNNNNNNNNNNNNNNNNNNNNNNNNNNNNNNNNNNNNNNNNNNNNNNNNNNNNNNNNNNNNNNNNNNNNNNNNNNNNNNNNNNNNNNNNNNNNNNNNNNNNNNNNNNNNNNNNNNNNNNNNNNNNNNNNNNNNNNNNNNNNNNNNNNNNNNNNNNNNNNNNNNNNNNNNNNNNNNNNNNNNNNNNNNNNNNNNNNNNNNNNNNNNNNNNNNNNNNNNNNNNNNNNNNNNNNNNNNNNNNNNNNNNNNNNNNNNNNNNNNNNNNNNNNNNNNNNNNNNNNNNNNNNNNNNNNNNNNNNNNNNNNNNNNNNNNNNNNNNNNNNNNNAAAACAGAGUGAUCAUGUAGCUUGCAUUUGCAUAUUAGGAUUGAGUCUAGAUUGUUUCAUGUAGGACUGUUGCAUUAGCAUAGGGGGCGAUGAUGAGUUACACCUUGUUGAUUUGCUAUGAUUCACCAGUUGAGAUCAAUGCCCUGGUUGUUAGCUUUUUGAUGCAUGAUGAUUGAACUUGAAGUAAGUCUGAAACAAACUUGGAAUUCAUGAAGAGCAUUCUUGAACUUGGUUGAAACAUGUUGUGAUAUGAUCUCAUUCCUUAUCCUAUAAGAACUUAAUCUUGAUUUGCAAAUAUCUGGUUGUGUUUUGCUUGCAUGCUCAUGGUCACCAUAUACAUAUUUGGAUCAUCUUCCUCCUUUCACCACUCUUGUUGAUCCAAGUAGCUGAUCUUUCUUUUGAUCAGUUUGCCACACCCACAGCCUAUCCUUUUCUUUCAAGCCAAUUGAUAAUUUUUGAGUGGUAGGUCUUUUACCGGAUUAUGCUUGGGGAGAACGUGUUAGGUAUGAGCCGACAGGAUUAAAAUCUUGAGUAGUUCUGAUUUUCACUUUCAAAUCAGAUAGGACUAGGUCGGGGUUCUUACUUGGGUUUGGGAUUGGAAUGAUUGUGGAAAGAAAGAAGAGAAACAGAAAAAGUUGUAUCCUUAGGAGGAGAAUGUUUUCUAGAAGUUUAUAAUCUAGUGAUUGAUUUUCGUGGGGUUAGCAUGAUAUACAGAGAAUGGUUCUGGGAUGUUAAGAAAGAGAAAAAGUUUUGAUGUCUUAUAACGUAAGAAGAAAACAGAACCAUAGUUAAGAAGAAAUCCCCUAUCCACUAGUAUUGAUAAGAAACUUCUCCUAAGGCAAAAAUCAAAAAGAAAAAAAAUGGGAUUGAUGUUGAAGGGUAGACAUAGGGAUCAUCCGGGUUUAGAUGAUUAGGAGUAAGCACUUGGGAACCAUUGGGUAGUCAAGGUUUUAUUCCUGUAUGCAUUUGUUGGUCCUUACCUUUAGCAUUCUCCCUAAAGCUCAAUCCAUUUAUUGAGAGAUCCUUGUCCUGAAAUUGUUUAAACCCUCAUGAUUCUCAAAACCUUUUUCUGCCCAGCCAAGUGAGUUUGUUAAGCCUUGCACAACCG